rnacentral:lncRNA from 1 species
UUCUGUCAACUCAAUAGUACUUACUAAAGUUUUUAUACAGAAGAAAAAGGCAUUUUAAGUCCAAAAAAUUAGAAUUAUUGGUUGAACUCCAACUCCAUCAAUCCAUGCAACCAUCCAAUCUUUAACGAAAAAAUGAAGCAUAAUUAACAAGACAUCUGAAUCAGAAAGAUUGUGCUUUCGUUUGGCACGAGGUGUUGGAAACAACUUAACAAAUCUAGACACAAUCUAUAACCAUCAAGUCCAAACAAAAGUCAGGAUCUAAAAUACUUUGAAAAAUCAGAAAAACAGCAAAAUAUCAGUUUCAAUUUCUUUUUCAUCCAUUGUAAGCUCAAACUAAAGGUAGCCGCGCUACCUUUAAACAUCAUUUGGGCUUGUACAUGUGACAUUUGCUCAUGAACAACUAAAGUUGAAUAAGAUUUUUAUAUGAAACAGAAUAUAAAAAGUCAAAGUAGAAUAUGACAGGAGCUACAAUAUAUUAUUCAGCAUUAGCAUUAUGUAUAAAAUAAAUUUAGACGCAUUAUAUUGAUUCACAAUCUUGCAGAGGUAAUACCAGAUUAUGGCACGCAACUCUUAUAUAGCAGAUAAAGGAGGAGAUGCAGUGGGAAGGUAGUAUCUUGCUUGCAUGAGGAUUAGAAAGCAAUAGCCCAAGAUCAAUUAUAGAUCUCAUAAAACAAAAACAGUGAGGCAAACACAAUUAUUGUGAACAAUUAUUCAUAGAACCACAUACCAGCAACAAGAUCAGAGUCAUCUGUGUAUAUAUCGAUUCCCCAUAGCUGACUGCCUCUGACCUAAACAUAAUGAACUUACAUAACUAAGAAGUAGAGUCAUAAAAUAUGCAGCUGUAACAGCUAUCAAUAAAUUUCCAGACAAAUGGAAUUUGAUCUGUAAGGCUAUAACUAGCAACACUUCAAAAUAAUUUGAAGUAGCAUGAUCUUACUUUAAGGAUCAAUACUACAAUCUUUCAGAAAAAUUAAAGUCUAAGCAAAAUUAAAACCUUAAACAUACUAAAAUCUGGUAAAUAGACCUACAGGAAUUCCAAUGACCUCCAAAAUAUUUGAAAGAAAAAUUAAUUUACAGCAAAAAAUGUUAAAAGAUUUGUAAAAUGGAAGCCCAUACUACUAUUCAAAUUACAAAUGAGGAAAGGGAGCUGGCCAUUAAAUGAUAAAGGCAUGCAUAAAGAAAUACAAAUAAUAUGCCCAUAAAGACGUCCACUCAAGCGUUAUAAGCGGCUUUAUGCAAAGGAAAGCCAAUUAGUUAACAAUAAAUGAAUUUCAAGGUGCAAUAAUUAAACUCCCUGAUCAGCACAUAUAAGGUUCAUGCAUUUCUACAAAACAUGUAAAUCAUAAGAACUUUUUUGGUCCAAAUGCUAACCAAUAAUUAAGUAGAUUAUCAAAGUUGUCACAGAACAAGCACCACAUUGAUUGCUAUGCAAAAGAUGAAAGUAAAAGUUAAUACUUUAUUUUAUUUUACUUUUCGAGAGUUUUGAUCAUCAUGUGCAAAAUAGUAGUAUAACUUGCUCAGUGUUAUCUCAAAAAGCUUGCUUAAAAUACCUAUUAGCACCAGUCCAAGUAGUCAAAUAAAUCCUUAUCUAUCCAUUCAUCUCUGACCUUGCCAAAAAGAUUUAAAUGAGCAUCUAUAUUCUCACUCCAAUCUUUCACAAUCAUGGGCUUUAUCUUUAGACCAGUUCUUCAAUAUCCCUUCCACUGUGAGCCCCUCGAAAACCUUGUAAAUUGAAUCACAUUUGUCGUCAGUUUCAAAUCCAUGUGUCAAAAGGCUAAGCAAAUGAAUAUACAAUCAACACCAUUCUUCCAAACGAAUAUACAGUCAACACCAUUCUUCCAAACGAAUAUACAGUCAACACCAUUCUUCCAAACACAAACAAAGUUUGAACGUAUGACAGAUUUUUAGCCAUUUAAUAUUCCAUCAAAGAUAAUUAGAUAACACCUACCAAGGAUUUUUGAAAAGAAUGCAUUCUCAUCUUAAGCAGCAACCUCACCAGUAACACAUUUUCAUACCCUGUUUCCACCUCUGGUCGCACCACCAAAAAAAAAUCAGUACUAAUUAGCUUCAACAGAGUCUAUUUUUUUAUUUCUUUUUUUUUUCAAAAUAAACCUCCAUUCUUAUACAUAAAAUUAAAAUAUCAAUUAAAUAAAAAAAGUCUAUGCUUACUAGUAAAACACGUCCAUUUUCAGGUAGAGGCAGAUAAUAAAAGAAAAUUGAUACUGAGAUAAAAUAAGAAGAGCUUACUAUGUGCAUUUGAUCAACAAUCCAAUCCUUAAUGAUGGAAUCGAUGCUAUCAAAUAAACGUGACUUAAUCUUGAAACAUUAAACUGCACUAAGCAUAGCACCAAAGCCAGAGCGUGACUAUAAAGAAGAAAAAGAAGAAUUAAAUCAACAUGAAAUUGAACUUUUGUUUUAUCUUCCACAAGCAAGAAAUUCAACUGGAACAAUACAAAAUAUGAAAUUUUUAGCAAUCUUACUAGCAUUAUACACAAAUCUCAAUUCACGACAAAUAGGGGAAUGAAUCACUAACAUCACCCAAUUCAUAUAUUCAAAUAAUGUAUCCCCACUCCUAACAAGCAACGUGCUACCACAGUCGAUUAGUUGUUAGGGUUAAGGCUCACCAUAGAGAACUGGAUGGCGCUAACUAAAUGACACGUUGAAACGGCAUCUGCAAUCGUAUUGAAUGACAUUGAACUUUUUCAGCUUCGUCGGUUGCGAAUGUGAGACCUUGGCUUAGGGUUCUAUACAGUGUUGUUGAUGCUUAAAUCUGCUCGCCUUUUGACCGACCAGAUUCUUUCACCAACAUUUGUGUUGUCAACUGCUGCUCGGACCACUGGGGUUGGAAUUGCCCUCCUUCCUCUUACUAGACCUGCGUUCACCAAAAAUGGAUCAGAGACGCCGGUGGUUUUGCCGGCGUAAACCCUCCGAUGCCUAAGUUAGCACAAGGUAUUUACGGGAAAACGGUGUAAUUUGGAUUCAAGAAGGGCUUAUAACUUGUUUCGAAGUUUGUAAGGAAAAGGCAUGAUUGCAAUUUGGCAGCGUUUUCCCUCUCUUCAUUUUUUUUGUCCUUUUCUUCAUCGAUUUCUUCUCCUUUUAUAGCCGUUGUCCCAUGUUCCCGUUUGGCUUUCAUCCCUCUUUUUUCGGAUGGUGGCAGCCCCUCAACGGACUCUAACUGCUACAUCAUGGGCAAACGUGGGGUCUCGCAUUACUCGCAACGGUUCUGGGAGAAGCGUAACUACCAUGAUUCUGUGGGAUCGUGUUCCCGCUUUUUCGGGGGAUGGGUAUCGGCUCGGUAUAUACCUCUGGUCGGUAUACUCCCCUGGUUGUACUCGUCUCUGGUCGGACCAUACUUGUCCCUGUGUUCUGCUCGUACCAUUUGGUUAAGGUGAUCCAUGCCGGCAUGGAAAUAGAAGCAUGGCCGACCUGGUGCGUAGCAUGGCCGACCUGGUGCUUUUAUUUACUUAACACCAGUCCCCCAGUUUCUGGUCUUGCGAGUAAAAUGAGUUAAGAGUAGAAACUGAUGGUUGAAUCUUACCAGCCCGGGGCUUCUCAUCUGGUCUUCUGUCAUUCCGGGACGGACCUGAGGUACCAUUCUUGUUCUGGGGGGAUUCUGACCUGAGCAUGGGCCUUAAUAAGCAUGUCCAUUGCAUAUAUGGACUUGCAUCUAGCCUGGCCUCUUGUAACGGUUAGUGACGUGGCGCUUCUCGACUCUUCGUAUUUGAAAUUUGAAACGACGGGCUAUCCGUCCUCGAUAUAUGGGGGGUGAGCUGGCAUAUCCCAUCACUUAAACGCUUCCAUUUCCCCCUUUUCGUUUCAAAUCCCUAGACUGGAGUCAUCAUCAUCUUGUUAUUCGUUUCUCCGCCGUUAAUCAAAUUUUUCUCUGAACUUUGCUCACACUUCCAGCGUCCAGAGUAUCCAUUUGGUGGGUGUUUUCUCUGUCACGGCAGCGCUAUCAGUGUCAGUCUAUUCCAGGUAUAGCCUUUAACCUCUUCUUUGGCUGUUGUUGAUUGGGUUCUGUGUUGCCCCUUUUUGUAUUCGUGUACUUGGGUUUGUUUUGGUUUCCUUUUGGGAUUCCGGUAUGUCGAAUCGGAGAAGGCAGUUGAUUGUAGAUGAGGGUGACGAAGGAACAGAGGAUUCACGCCUUAAUGUUUCAAUACCCACUGAAUUUUUACAUCCCUCUAGUACUGUAGGCUUCUCCCAUGGGAGGGAUACCCUUGAGUACCCACGUCCCUUGUCCAUUUCAUCUUCCCCUGAGCUAGGGCUUGUAGGAAAUAGAGGGGGACCUGCGUCGGGCUCUGGUGAGAACCACAGUUCUGGUGGGGUUGGGGUCCUUGAAGAAGUGGGUAAUAGUGAGGGAAGCAGCUCCGAGCCGAGCCGACCUCCUAAGAAAAGAAACCUUGGGCAUAGGGUGGAGGCGAAUUCUUACCCUAUCGACCAUAUAGCCUGUGCCACCACCCAAACUGACCUGUUCAAGCUUAGGAACCUCUACAACAUUCCUAAGGAGGUUCUUCUUGUAGUUCCUAGGAAGGGUGAUGUUCCUAGUCGGCCUCUGCGGGGGUAUGUGACGAUGCACCUGGAGAGUUUCAAACUAGUAGCUCGGCUGCCCCUUCAGCGUUAUUAUGCCAAGAUAUUGGGGGCCAUGCACCUGGCCCCAGGUCAGCUACACCCAAACGGGUGGAGGGUCCUCUCGGCUAUGUUUGUGUUGUGGGAGAGAUGCGGGUCGGAGGAGCCUUCCCUUGUUGAAGUGAAGCAUUUGUAUCAGCUGCGGAGCAGCCCAAGGGAGGCAGGCUGGUACUACUUCAUGUCCAGUUCUGCGAAGAGAAAGCCCAUUACCGGUUUCCCCUCCUCGUGCAAAAAUUGGAAGAACAAAUUCUUAUUUGCUGGGGGAAAUUGAUGUUCAGCAGUCCGUUCGUUGGGUGGUGAUAUUUACCUUCCAACGCAAUUUGUCACCCCAGGUCGUUCAUUUUUUGCCUGUAUCCUUUCUCGAAUUGCCACUUAUUGGGUUCUUUAACCUUGUUUGUUUUUUCAGAAUCGUGGGGUUUGGUUAAGGAUCUCGAAGACCGGCCUUUGCUUCAGGUGGAAACUGCUCUGGUGAACGCGUCUACUUGUCAAGACCUCCUGUCACCAACAAGCUUGGUCGGUUCGGGCUUAGUAGAUAUUGCCGCAGGAAUGGAUAACAAGAUCCUUAACGCGAUGAGCAGAAAACGUGGUCGGGCUCCGAGUAGCUCCAGCAACCCUCCUCCUCCUCCAAAGAAACCCAGCGUCGGUCCUUCCAAGGCGCCUGUUCCUGCUCUGCCCCCUCCUCCACCUCGUAAGAGUGGUGGGGAGAAAACCUCCGACAAGAGUCCUGAGGUCAGCUUGCAGUCAGGGGACCGAUCUUCUCCUCUUCCAUCUCGGGAUCAAGGUGACUACCUGAGCCCUUAUCAGAAGGAUUAUAAAAAAUCGGUUGGGCCCAAGAUGGUGAAGGACAUCGAGAGCAUGAACCUCUCUGAGUUAGCUGCUUCUGUUCAAAGAGUCUCAUUCAGGCUGGCCACAAUGGUCUCGUGCUACAAGACCGGAUCCGCGCGCCAUGAGAAGAAGCUUCAAGCUGACAAUCAGGAGUUGAAGAAGAAAGAUGAAUCUGCUGACCGCUCCAAGGAGAAACUGGCCGAGUUGAACAAGCAGAUUACGGAGCUGGAGGAGAAAAUUGCAGUUGCUGAGUCCACUGCCUCCAAGUUUGAGGGUGAGCUGGGUGGCCUGAAGUCGGACCUUCAGGUAGCUCAAAGUGAAAGAGAUACUUUGAGGACCGCCCUUGAGGGAAAAAUCAAAUCCCUGAACGAGCAGCUGGCUGAGGGGAAAGGUAAAUCCGCCGAUGUGGACGAUCGGUUGGAUGCCGAGUAUGACUCGGGGGUUGCUUUCUCCUAUAAGUGCAUUAUGUCUGUGCUUCAGGGAGAAUAUCCCGAGCUGGACAUGAGCAAGUUGGAGGCUGGAGUGCAGCGAUAUAUGGCAGAGGUCGGUCAGGCGAACAAGGAGCAGGGUGAGCAGGAUCAGGUGGAGGCUCCUUUUGAUGGGAUGCAAGAGGGGGAAGCUGGGGGACGCACUUUCGAAGUGGGUCAAGGGUCCAUGCCUCCUCCUCCCGGUAUUGCUGAUCUCCCACCUCCUGAUGUUGCUGAUCCCUUACUUCCCGAGCUCGCUGAUCCUUCGGCUGCUGGAACCGUUGACUCUGCUAAGCUUUGAGCCUAUUUUUGUAUAAACUCUAGAUUUGCAUUUGUUUUGUAAACAAUUGAACAUUUAUAAAUUUUUAGAUGCUCUUUAUUUGCUUUCUUGCCCGGUUUUUGCUCAUAGAUUGUUUCUGAAAAACAAUUGGACAACUUAUCUGAUUUUGCCUGCUGGUUCUUUAGUGAGCCGAGCAGGAGUAGGCAUUUGUUUGCCUUAGUAAGAUUUCCAUAAAAUUGGUUACUAGUCUUUAUUGACCGAGCAGAAUUAGGCACUUACUUGCCUUAGUAGGAUUUUUGUAGGAUUAGCUGCUGGUCUUUCUUUGACCGAGCAGAGGUAGGCACUUAUUUGCCUUAGUAGAAUUUUCGUAGAUUAGCUGCUGGUCUUUCGUUGACCGAGCAGAUGCGGGCACUUACUUGCCUUGGUAAGAUUUUCGUAGGAUUAGCUACUGGUCUUUCUUUGACCGAGCAGAGGUAGGCACUUAUUUGCCUUAGUAAAAUUUUCGUAGAUUAGCUGCUGGUCUUUCGUUGACCGAGCAGAUGCGGACACUUACUUGCCUUGGUAAGAUUUUCGUAGGAUUAGCUGCUGGUCUUUCUUUGACCGAGCAGAGGUAGGCACUUAUUUGCCUUAGUAGAAUUUUCGUAGAUUAGCUGCUGGUCUUUCGUUGACCGAGCAGAUGCGGGCACUUACUUGCCUUGGUAAAAUCUUCGUAAAUUUAGCUGCUGGUUUUUCGUUGACCGAGCAGAAGUAGGCACUUGCCUUAGUAAAAUCUUCGUAAAUUUAGCUGCUGGUCUUUCGUUGACCGAGCAGAAGUAGGCACUUGCCUUAGUAAAAUCUUCUUAAAUUUAGCUGCUGGUUUUUCGUUGACCGAGCAGAAGUAGGCACUUACUUGUCUUAGUAGAUCUUUUUAAUGGACUUAUUGGCCAGGGGAUUUCAUGCUGAAUUCAUCUUUAUUGAACUUUGAAUGCGUUACAGAAAUACAGAAUAUAUGCAUAUGCAACAAGCCAUCAUGCGUUUGAAAGGAAUAACUUAUCAAAAUGAAAAUUAAUAGGGCACUUUGCUUACUGGAAGUACUUUUUCAAGUGCUCGGCGUUCCACGACCUCUUCACCUCUCGUCCGUCUGGAUACGCCAGCUUGUAGGCUCCCGGUCCAGUUGCUCGUAUCACCCUGUACGGGCCUUCCCAUUUCGGGCCAAGAGCUCCAUGGUUGGGAUCCCUGGUGUUUUGGUUCACCUUCCUAAGCACCCAAUCUUCUGUUCGGAACUGCCUCACGCGUACGUUUUUGUUGUAAUAACGCGUGACCCUUUGCUGACAUUGGACCACCUUCUGCGAAGCCCGUUCCCUUUUCUCCUCCAGCAGGUCCAGGCUCAAGCAGAUCUGCUCGCCAUUUAUUGCUUCGCCCAAUUCUGAUCCGACCUUAACCACUCUGCUAGGGUCACUCCUGCUUACAACAACUUCCUCCAGCUUCUCAACAGGUUCUUGGCGACCGUUUUUUGAAUCCCCUCGGUUAUCUAGAGAGGUAACUUGCAGUGUUUCCUUGGCCGCUGUAGCAUAGCAGCUCCUGGCCAUUCUCUGGUCGCCCUUUACUACACCCACAACUCCAUUUAUUCUGUAUUUCAGUGCCAGAUAAUGUGUGGACAUUACACAUUGGCUUAUUCUCAUGAACGGUCUCCCCAAUAUCAUCUGGUAAGGACUUCUUUCCUCUACCACGACAAAGUCUAGCAUCAUCGUUCUUUCAAAUGGCUUUGUCCCCACAGUAAUCGGGAGUUCAAUGACCCCCAUGGGAGUUAAUCGUCCCCCUCCAAACCCCUUCAAGGAUGUGUUCGUCCGCUCCAGCUUUAAGUCUGAAAUCCCCAUAUCAUCUAGGGCCGACUUAAACAGAAUAUCGACUGAGCUGCCCGUGUCCACCAGUAUUCGCCUUACUUCUGUACUAGCUACCAACGCUUUAAUCACCAGUGCAUCCUCAUAAGGAUACAAAAUGCCCUCUUCGUCAUCCUCCGUCCACAUAAUGGGCACUUGCCGCACUCUUGCCUUCUUGGCUGCUGGCAAAUUUAGAAGCACCUCUUUGCCAGUCAUGGCGUACCUCCCAUAGUUCUUCCGUGCUCUAUUUGAAUCCCCGACCAAUGUUGGCCCUCCUGCUAUCACACGGAUGGUCGGCUGUUCACGUUCCAGAUCCCUCUCAACUCCUUCAUCCCGUGUGUACUGUGAUUCCAUGGCAGGGGACAUUCCAUCUACAUACUCGUCCAAGUAUCGGUUCCUCACUAAAUCCUCCACCUGAAUCUUCAGGUCACGACAUUGGCUGAUAGUGUGACCAUGAGUGUCGUGGAACUUGCAGAAUCUGCUCUUAUCCCGUCGAUGAGUCGGUUUUGUUAUUGGGGCUGGAAGGUACAGCAGGCCUCGUCCUUCGAUCCUCUCAUACAAUUUCUCCAUGGAGAUCUUUAAUGGAGUGUACUGUCUAUAUGCCAAGCUCUGGUCUACUAGCUGAACUGCUCGGCUAUCAUGAACGUCUCCUCGGGUUGGUAUAGCCGGUAGCUGCUCUAGUCGUCCAGACCUGUAAUUAGUUGCACUUAAUCCUCUGGGAGUGCUGUGAUAAGGGUAGGCAGCCAUCUGCCUGAAUUCUCGCUGUCGCUCUGGGAUCGGGGGGCGCAGAGGUUGAGCCCGGCUGUGUUGGAACUGUUGUGAUCUCGGAGCUAUGGGAUAAGGGCGGGACCGAGCUGAUGUUCCGCCCCUUACUGAGGACUCCCCAGCUCGCUUUCCCGACCCGCUCCCACUUGGAGUUCUUCUUUCCUUUCGUCUCAGCUCCUCCAACUGUUCACUCUUUAUCCUUGCCGAUUUUUCUUCUUCGAUUUCGAUGUCUCUCUUUGCCUGCUCAUACCCUGCUGAAUAACUCUGCACUAGGGGGCUCCUCAGGUUAUUCCAUAGCCGGCCUAUCCUCACACCCUCCUUUAAUCCCCUCAAUGCCUGCGGGUGAUUGAAAGCUCCCAAAUCAAGUACGGCUUGGUGGUAUCGCUUUACAAAAUCCCGUAGGGAUUCAUGCUCCUCCUGUUUUAUCCCCAUCAGUUCCAUCAUGUCAUCCUCUGGGGCUGCUGCUCCUCGGAACUGCUCGGCCAACUCCUGGCACAUCUGCUCAUACCCCUUUAUACUUCCUCGGGAUAGCUUGCGGUACCAUUCUCGGGCUCGUCCCUCUAGUGUCAACGGGAACACCCGGCACCUCUGAGCUGGUGUCAGCCCCUGCACACCCGUCAUGUCGUUGAAACGCUCGAUGUGCACCAGCGGGUCACUUCGCCCGGAGUAUUUGAGGUCGGGGAAGCGGAAAUCUCUUGGGAUUAUGAUACCCAUGAUCUCAGUUGAUAACGGAGAUUCUUCAUCUAGCAUUAUCCUCCAGCUCGGGGGCUUUCUCUUGCCCUGUUUCCUCGACUCUACGCCUCCAGAGGUUGGAUUCUGCUCCAACUUCAUCUCUUCCCACGGGGGUUUCACAAUCCCUUCUCCGCUCAUCCCUCAGCUCAAACAAUAUGGCCGCGAGAGUCUCCAUUUGUUUCUCCAUCCGCUCCAGUCUAUCUUGCAUCAUCCUCUCUCGGGCUUCAUUUGCAAUUUCCCGAAGAGUGAUUGUCUCCCCAGCUUCGUUAUCCUCCCUCAAGGCGUCCUUCCUCGUCACAUCCAUGUCUAACCGUUCGUCGUUUCUCCGGUAACUCCUAAUUCGGUGGUAGCUUUUUAUCCAGCUCCCCACAGACGGCGCCAAAAUGUUGAUGCUUAAAUCUGCUCGCCUUUUGACCGACCAGAUUCUUUCACCAACGUUUGUGUUGUCAACUGCUGCUCGGACCACUGGGGUUGGAAUUGCCCUCCUUCCUCUUACUAGACCUGCGUUCACCAAAAAUGGAUCAGAGACGCCGGUGGUUUUGCCGGCGUAAACCCUCCCAUGCCUAAGUUAGCACAAGGUAUUUACGGAAAAACGGUGUAAUUUGGAUUCAAGAAGGGCUUAUAACUUGUUUCGAAGUUUGAAAGGAAAAGGCAUGAUUGCAAUUUGGCAGCGUUUUCCCUCUCUUCAUUUUUUUUGUCCUUUUCUUCAUCGAUUUCUUCUCCUUUUAUAGCCGUUGUCCCAUGUUCCCGUUUGGCUUUCAUCCCUCUUUUUUCGGAUGGUGGCAGCCCUUCAACGGACUCUAACUGCUACAUCAUGGGCAAACGUGGGGUCUCGCAUUACUCGCAACGGUUCUGGGAGAAGCGUAACUACCGUGAUUCUGUGGGAUCGUGUUCCCGCUUUUUCGGGGGAUGGGUAUCGGCUCGGUAUAUACCUCUGGUCGGUAUACUCCCCUGGUUGUACUCGUCUCUGGUCGGACCAUACUUGUCCCUGUGUUCUGCUCGUACCAUUUGGUUGAGGUGAUCCAUGCCGGCGUGGAAAUAGUAGCAUGGCCGACCUGGUGCGUAGCAUGGCCGACCUGGUGCUUUUAUUUACUUAACAAGUGUUAUAGAGAGAGGCUCAGAGUUGAUUCAUUUUAGGUUGCAGUGGCCAGUGGAGAGAGAGGGAUUUAUUCAACGCUUAGCCAAAAUUUGGCGGAAGUGUUGAUGUGUUUUAAGUUAUAUAAAACGGUGUCGUUAAUUUAAACGGCACUGUUUUACAAUCUUAUAAUUUCACAAAACUUAAGCAUGACUUAUAUGUAUCAUUUAUUUAGGACGGUUAAGUUACGUCAUGAAUAUGUCAUAUAUUCUGGACAUAUGAAUAUAUAUCAUGAAUCUAUCAUAUUUUUAUGAUACAUUCGUGACACAACGAUAUAUGUCAUAAAAUUUCUGUCAUUAUUUAAUACUUUUCUAGUAGUGUCAUAUCUUUAAAACCUUUCUAUUAAUAGCAAAAACUCUAAUCCUUUAGCAAAAGACUAAAAAUUUAAAAAAAAAAAUUCUGUUUAAAUAUCAGUUGGCUCAUGAUCAACACUUCAAUACUAUUUGUUGUAUUUUCUUUCUUUCUUUCUUUGUCAUUUUAUUAGAUUUGCUUAAGUAAUUGUUCAUUGUUUACGUCUGUGUUCUUACUAGCUUUUGAUAAUUUAUGGUUGGUUUUUUAUUCAAACCCUCGAAGUACCUUUCUGUUAACAGCAAAACCUUUGAUCCUUAAGAAAGAAAAAGAAAUUCUCUAUUUAGUUAUUAGUUGGUUCAAGAUCAAUAUCGCGAUAUUGUUUGCGGUCUUUUCAUUCUCUAUCUUUCCCUCUAGUUCAAUUUAAUUUAUUUGUAUUCCUUUCUUUGACCCUUGUAUUUAUAUAUAUAUAUUGUUAAGCAACAGGCAAUGGCUGCAGAAGGGUGCCUCCCUGCUUUUUCCAGCAUUGUAUCACAAGGUUCAAAAGCGUUAUUCGAACCGAUUAUGCGGCACAUAUAUUAUGUGUUCGAGUACCAGAGCUACAUAGAUGGGCUAAAAGAUCGAGUGAAGGAGCUGGAAUAUAUAAGAGAAAGGGUGCAAAUGCUGGUUAGAGAGGCUACUCUACAAGGAGAUGAGAUUUAUAAGGGUGUCAGAGACUGGCUAAAUAGAGUUGCUGAAUUCAGUGAAGGGGUUGCAAAAUCCAUCAUUGAUGAUAAAGAUAGAGCUAAGAUGUUCUGCUUCAAAGGGUUGUGCCCAAAUUUGAUUUCUCGUUACAAGCUUGGUAAACAAGCAGCAGAGGCGCAAACGAAGCUGACAAACUUGUGAAAAAAAGGCGAAUUUAACAUAUGUAAUCAUGUUUCCUACCGUCCUGCUCCAGAGAGUACAGAAUAUGUGCAAGUGAAAGAUUACGUAGCCUUUUAUUAUAAUAUCUUUUCACUCUAUUAACUUAAAAAAAGAUUGACUUCAAAUGUUAAAAAUGUAACAGCGUAUACAUUUUAUAAUAAUUUCAAUAUUUAAAAAAUAUUUGAAUACUUUACAAUCUUAUAUUAUAUUAAACUAAUUUUAUAAUAUAUAGAAACAUAAUAGUAAAAUAAAUAUAUAAAAUUUUAAGUUAGGCUUAAUAUUAUUUAAAAUAAUUUAAAUAUCAUUAAUACAUGAGAUAUAUUAUAUUAAUUAUAAAUUCUAUUUAAUCUAAAUAUUUAUUUAAAUUUUUUAUACUAAAAAUAGAUAUAUUAUUAAAAUAAAUAUAACAACUAACAUUUUAAAAAUUAAUACUGAAAUUAAAAUUAUAAAUUAUAUUAAUCUACUAAAAAGAUUAAUCUAUUUGACACUCGCAGCGGACAAUGAGGUCACGGCAUAGGACAACUUCUUUUGAAAAAAAAAAAAAUCAAAAUCAAAGUCAUUGAAGUGCGUUUGAUGAUUUGCUGUGUAGCUUCUCUCUCAAAUGCUUUUCGAGUGCCUCUGGUAUCUGCUUUUAUAUAAGCUUUUGUCUUUAAUCAUUCAUUCAAGCUUUCGCUAAGAGUGAUGCAGCACAGCACGUAAAUAUAGAAGCAUUGACAGCCGUAGUCAGGAGCUCUUCGGUAUUUGAAGCAAGAAUGGUUGUUUGGCUUUGUGCAUUGAAAGAGAAAAGAAAAUAGAAUGACUAAUUUCAAUAAUACAAUUUAAUUAAUUAAUUUAAAAUAAUAAGCAUAUAAUAAUGAUGAAAUUAAUUAAUAAAAAGAAGAAAAUGAAAAUUGCACGUGCUAUUAGCAUAAACCAAUUGCCGGAAUGAGGUCACUUUGUAGACAAAUGAUUCUGGAAUCAGAACUUGGGCCAGCUUUGGGUUAUGGAUCCAAAAUAAAAAUAAGGUGGGCCACAUGGUCUCUUAUGAUCAAUAAAAAUCGAUUGAAAAGGAUGGUAUGGUGAGUGGAAGAGAAAUGUCGAUGGCAGAUCAAGGGAUGAAGAUACGAGCUCACUUGCAACGUGGUAUAGUUCAUCAUGGCUUUCCUAUAAGUUCAGGUCCUUUGAAUACUUUCAAUGACCUUAUUAGUCAGGAAUUUAACAAUAAUUUUUAUUUUUUUACAUCCAGGAACGGUUUUAAGCAUAGGAAAAUUAGGCCUAUAAUAGCAAAUCUUCUUUUUUAGGCCUCUUUUUAGUUAGUAAUUAUCUUAUAAUUAAGAAUUUUUAUACACAUUCUAUAUUUGAUAACCUUAAUAUUAAAGAUCUCUAAUUGUUAAUUUAUUAUUAGUUUUUCCAAGAAAAAAAUUAAAUUCUUUAUCUAUUUAAAAAAGUUUAUUAUUUAACAUUAUAAAAUUUUUUGCGCCAUUCUCUAUAAAGAAAAUUAUUACAUUUAUUGGUUCACUUUUGAAUUAAAAAAAAGUUUAUUAAAUAAUAAUUCUAGAGGAAGUAAAAAAGAUAUCUUCUUGGAAAUGUUUCAAACCCAUGUGUUUGGAUCUGUUUGAUAAUUUGUCGAAUUUGCCCACAUAUGAAAUUAGUAUGAUUUUACAGGUUAUAUUAUUUAAUUGGCUAUUUCAUUAAAAAAAAAAAAAAACACACACACACACACACACACAAGGAUUUUUAUUUGAUGGUAGAAGUUAAGUUGUUUUUCAGUGAUAAAUAAUGUUGUUAACCAAAUUUAAUUGACAUUCUACGUGGCAGUAAUUCAAUUUUAUAGAAGCACGUGGAUUAAAGGACAAAAACACAUCCAGUAUUUAAUAUUGGAUAUGAAUAUGGAUUUUAUCCAUAUAGAUAUGGAGAUCUACGGAUAUUUUAUUUUUAUUAUAUAAAACUAAUAAUAUAAAAUAGUUAAAAUUUCAAUAUCAAAUUUGAUUAUUAAACUAUUUAUAUUAGUAAUAAUAUAUAUAUAUAUAUAUAUAAUGAAAUGGCCGUCCGGUGGCCGGCAACGGAGGUCCGCGAAGUCUCUUCAUUCUCCUGUUAAGUAAUAAAAAAAAUCAAAACAGAGGAGAAACAUGGCCCUCUUUUCAUUCCCCUGUUUGAUAACAAUAAAAACAAAACAAAGGAGAUACGUGGACUCUCUUCUCAUUCCCCUGUUUUUCUUUUCGGUUUGGCGAUUUUAAAAUUUGAUAUCUACACUCAUUAAAAAAAGAAAAAAAAAAGUUAUUCCAAGAUGAUUUUCUAUUUUCAUAUAGACGUUUAUUUAUUAACCAAAAUUUAAAAAGUGUAAUUCUAAACUUAUCCUUGUGCUUUGAUCUUGGAGGGAUUUUUCAUUUUUUCUACACUGGUCUUAUCAAUUAAUGAUGAAAGUUCUUAUCAUUAAUUGCUUUGGAAAUGAGCAAGCACGGUAUGACCCCUAAGAGAAUUUAUUAAUUGGACAAGUUAUAUAACACCUUUGAUAUGGCUCCUAGACAUGUAUGCAAUUUGUAUCUUUUAGUUUUGCUUUUAAUUCUUUUUUAAUUAAAUGAGUCCGGAUUAGGUCAGUGGCAGAUAAAAGAGUCGGUUUUUCCAUUACUAAGCUUUUCAUGGAUGAAAAUUUUAUUUAUUUUUUUGGUUUUAAAGGUUCUCUGUGAAUGCCAUUAGAAAUGAGAUUGACUAAUUCAAGCUUCCUUUUUCCCCUUAGCAUCCAAACGUGUGAGGCAAGGGCAACUAAUGAGUCCCUUGUGAUGAGAACCUUUGUCUAAGCAAAAGCAGAGGUCAAUUGCUAAUACCGUAAUGUUAUUACUUUCAGUGCUUAAAUUGCUCCAUAAGCUUGCAUUUUAAAGUCUUUGUCUUAAUUUCUGUGGUAUACUGGUUAUGAGACCUCCUGCCAAGUUCAAGUUUCUUGAUGUCUUAUAAUUCCAUUUGUUGUGGUGGUUACUUUGUCAUAGAACUGACUGUUAAAGGCCAUCAAUCAGCUCUGUUUUGUAUUUGUGUACGUUUUUUUUCGUAUAAUGAUCAAUCAAAUGUUAGCCCUUAGAUUGCAUCCAAUAUUUAUUGAUUGUCUUUAAUUAGGAUAUAAACUAAAUUCAUAAGACAUUCCCUUAUUGAUAUUCAUUCCAACACGUCCUAGUCUUUUGCCUUGUAGAAAUGCUUGUGGUUGAAGAGCUUUACACAGAAGCUGUCGUCAGUACUGCGCGGAAAUUGAUUAUAUUGAAUCAGAAAACUUGACUAGGUAAGGUCUAUGUGCAUGAGAAUACUUGGAAAAUCUUCACAAUACUGAGGGCCGGAUCUGCACUCUUUCCUCUAUAUGUGUCUUCAAUAUCAAUGGCUCAAAUACAUGUGUUAUGGUCUUUUAAUAUAAAAUACCAUUAUCUCAUGCGUUAUGGUCUUAUCCUUGUAUUCUUAAAAACUAUAUAAAAUACCAUUAUCUCUGCUUUUGUAGCUAUUGAAUUCGACUUUCACAACAUAAAUAUUUAUUUAUGUUAAUGUGUAUAAUUUUGAAAAUUAUAUGCAUUGUUAAUGUGUAUUAUUGUCUAAUAUUUGGAUUUUAUUAAUUUACAACUGCUAUAACUUAAGGCCUCUUCAAACAUAAUGUGAGUCCCACCACGUGUUAAAUUUUUUACAUUAUUUUUGAAGGAACUAUAAGUUACAGCAGCUGUAACUUAGCAGCACCUCCAAUAUUUUACUUUACUUCCCCUAAUAUUUUACUUGUACUUUUAUAUCUUUACAAAACAAUACCAACAAGACAAUAAUGUAUGAAAUAAAUAAAUAAAGAACUGACAACGAAAUUAGGCCUAUCAUUAAUUUCUCGUGGCGUGAACUCUUGACAAUUCUCCCAUAUCCCACCUGAAGCUCUCGCGUGGUGUGAACGCUUGACGAUUCUCCCAUAUCCCUCCAAAAAUUUGUCAUAUUACGAAAAGCAAUGUCAAUUCAAUGUCGUCUCCAUUAAUCAUAGUGGCAGAUAGGACUAGAAUUUGUUGAAACCCCCGGACUUAUUUUUCCUUUUGAAAAUAAUUUUGUAGAAUCUCAUAUCGUGAAUAACAGACAAUGAGACUCUUUUUUUUAACUAUAAUAUUUUUUUUUAAAUUAUUAACUAAAAAAAUAAUUUUAAUAUUUUUAUAAUAAAUAUAAGUAGGAUAUUAAAAUAAAUAUAAUAAUAUUUAUAUAUUAAAAUAAUUUCAAUACCAAAAAAUAUUUUAAUAUUUUACAAUCUCGUAUUCUAUUAAACCAAAUUAUAAUAAAUAGAGACAUAAUAUUCAAAUAAAUAUAUAAAAAUUUAAAUUAUUUUCAACAUCAUAUAAAAUAACUUUAAUAUUAUUAAAACAUGAGAAAUAUUAUAUUAAUUAUAAAAACUAUUUAACCCAAGGAUUUGUUUAAAAUUUUUAUAAUAAAUAUAUUAUUAAAAUAAAUAUAUUAAAUUACAUUUUAAAAAUUAAUUAUUUAAAUUAUACAUACUAGUCUACUAGAAAAUUUAAACUAUUUAAAUCAUAUAUACAUUUAGUAAAAAAUUUUGAAGUCAUUUUUUUUUAUGUGGCUACCAUAAGAGUACUAUAGUCAAAAAGGGUAUUGGUGUUCUUUAUUAAAAUUUUGGGGUCUACAUGACUAUUUUCUAAAAUUUUAAGGGUGUCAUUUUAUUUUUGGAAAAAAAUAAAAAUUUCAUUUAAACGGCUAAAAUGGUGAAUGAUGGUUGUCGAAGCCAACAAAAAUAAAUAGAUACUCUAAAUAAAUUGUAUAUAGUGAUUGAGCAGGGUCGUGUCCACAUAGAUCGGUAAUUAUUUAAAUUCUUUUAAAACAUAAAACAUAAAAUGGGGGUUUUGUUGACAAUAAUAAAAAUCAAAGUAAAAAAACGAAUGCAAAUUAAAGUUGGAAUUCAAAUUGGAGAAAGCUCUGGUUGAAGGAAUUAACUCAGCUUGAUUCAACUGCUGAUCAUUGAUUCAAAUAUAAAUUAUUAUUACUUAUGAAUAGACCGGUUAUAGCUACUGAGACCCUCUAAUAGCCAAUCUCUCCUUAAUUAGUCAAUAACCAAGGUACGACCGUUGGUUAUUUUCCUAAUCAAUAGACAACCCUAGAUACGAUCAUAGAAUUUAAUCAAUUGACAGCCUGAAAAACCAGAGAGACCCAAAUCCUAAUCAACAAACACAUACGAUGGUUCAUUUAAAUUAGAUUGUUUAUUCUCACAACACAACUCUUUGCUAUGUUAUUUGUCACAAACAUUAAAAUCUUCAUACGAUGAAUCCUUUAAUUGACAAUAGAUUAAGUUGAUAAUUAAAUAGUGGCCAAUUACCUAAUUAACAAACAUAAUCAUGAAAAUAAUUUAGAGAAUAAACAAAUACCCAAAAAGCAAUAAAAAAAUUAAAGCAUAAGAAAGAUCUCACAGUAGUGAUGAAUCAAAGCUUCAUUAACCUUCAACCAGAAAAAUAGGUUUAGUUCUUCAUAGAGAGAAGAGAAAAGUUUAGAUCUAGGGUUUCUUUCUUUUUCCAAUCUCCCAUUUUUCACAAUAGAUUCCUCCCUUAAAUACUCUCUCUCUCUUCUCAUCUAGAGUUCUAUUUAAAAUAAAAUACUAAUAUCUGAAAUAUUAAAUUCAUAAUUACAAAAAUAACCAAAAAUACAAAACACGUUAAACUAAAAACUGCAGGUCCGUAGUUGACAGCACGCGCCCACGCCUUAUCAACAAAGUUCUUUUGACGCUCAUAAUUUCUCCAAUGGAACAAUCAUCCUUAAACAUCAUCUUGUAACUCAAUUUUUGCACCAAUCAAUAGAAUUGCACCUAUAAAAAUAAAACACAAGUAAAUCACUAUUAUUAAGUACAAAACAUCGAUAUUAAGGGAAGUAAACAAUUCAAAACUAGUGCAUAAACUGCACUCUAACAGUGAAUAGUACAAUGCUACAGUGGGCGUAAAUGGAAGGUAAAAAGCACUCAAAAUGACCAACAGUCUAAUGCCUCAGCAGGGACAUAAGGUCAAAGUUUGUUACAUGUGGUUAGGGCCAUUUAGUCUGUGAGUGGGUCCUGCGUGUCAUUUUUGGGCAUUUCAUCUUCUUUAGCAUUGAAGAUUAAAUGUUGCCGAUAUUUUCAAAAUUUUGGAAGACCCAUCACACUUUUGGAUGGUUGUCAUUAUUUGAUAUUAUCAUUAUAUGACGAAAUAAAAUUGGAUGUAACACUUGUUUCGCGUUGUGUGAACUUUUGACAAUUCCCCCAUAUCCCCCAAAAAUCUUUCGCCAUUUUGGGAAGAUGCCAUUUAUUUUCAUUUUCAUCAUUGAUAGUGGCAGAUAAUGGGUUCGGGGACAUACUAUAAAUUAUUAUGACCCAUGGACUUUUCUAAUUUUUUUCCCUUUGGAUAGUUGUCGUUAUUUGAUAUAAGGAGAUAGAGAUAAAGUUUUUUAAUCAAAUGCCCAUUUUUUUUACCUUUGGAUAGUUGUCGUUAUUUGAUAUAAGGAGAUAGAGAUAAAGUUUUUUAAUCAAAUGCCCAUUUUAUUUAACAUGGAAGAAGAUCUUUAAACUCUAAGUGAGGCUAUCACUUCAACUGAUGCAGCCCUCAAGAAAGAGGUAACAAGUGAUGAGAUAGACUCAUUAUUGUCUAAUCAAAAAAGGACAUCAGUAGAUGUAUCAGGAUCUUAAGUUAGAUUGGAAUUUGAUACAUUGUUGCUGGUAACAUUGGUUCAAACCUUUAAAGCGAGGUUGGAUGCAAAAUGGUUUACACCAAAGAAGUGAUUUAGGAAGUUAAUUAACGUUAUUUUAGAUAAUUUAUAAUUCUAGAAUAUUUAUUAUUUUAUGAUUUUCUAUUUUAGUUUGAGUCAAUUAUGGUAUGUAUCUUAAUCUUUUAUUUCCAUUAUAAUUAUGAUUUAAAUUUUCUUUUUAGGUUAAUUUAGGAAAGUGGAUUUCUUUUAUUAUAAAUAAAGAUGUCUGUAAUAAAAAAAAAUAAAGAUGUCUUGUCAUUAUUUUCAAAACUUCAAGUUCAAUUAUUAAAUAAAACCCCUCUUUUAUAAUUUCCUCUAAGAUUAUUUAUCAAAAUCUCUCUUGUAGAGUCGUUUGGAUUAGAGUGUCAUCUAAUCUCGUAUUACGCGUUAUUAAAAAUCGCAUUGAGUCAUUUGGAUUAGAACAAUAUCUAAUCACGCUUCGAAUAGAGCGUAAGCUAAUUGCAUUGGCUUGGUCCAGUAUUAGAACGAUAUCUAGUGUUUCUUACCCUAUAAUUCUGCUUCCGCUACGCCUCGCUCCAUCAAUUCGUAUCAAAGCGAUUCUAUGCGAAUCACACAUCGUUCCUAGAUACACGAUACCCAUCCAAACCAAAUCCAUCAAAAAAAAAAAAAUUUACAAAUUUGAAAACCCUACCCGUCACAUCAACCUCCACCGCCGCCCACACCGCCGAUCAGCCAGCCAACACCACCACAAACCUCACUAGCCACCGUCGACCAAGCCUCAGUCAUCGCUGCCUCAACGGCCGCUUGAACAGCCGCAAAUCACCAACGCAAACCCGCGGCUCCACCAAGCAACCCACCACCAUUCAGCCACUUUCUCCAUCAGCCACCUCCACCAACAAACUCGCCGGCCUCCGUUGGCCAAAAACCAACCAACUUCAGCCCUUGAUCGCCGCCCGCUGUCACCAGACGAAACGACAACCCACGAGUGCUUCCUACACGCGCCGCCACCAAAACACCUUGUUUUUCCGUCAAUUUACACCACCACCAUAAUCCCUAGCAGUCGGCAACCGUAAAUCCAGUCUUCUGCCACUGUAAGGCCGCCAUAAACCAAAAGCCACAUCACCAAAAUCAACCGCCAAUUCAAGUCGGAUUUCCCCCAAUUCAAGUUGCUGAAUAUAAAAAGGACUCAUGAAAAUUACUAAAGUUUCAAAUAUUGUUAUUCAGCAACCACUUUUAGGUUACAUUAGUUUCAACCCAAAUUUUAUAUAAAUAAUUUAUAACUCCCAUUAUUAUUAUAAAAAAAAUUGUAGCAAUUGUGGUUAUAUCACAUGAAAAAAAAAAAUUCUAAUUAAAGAAAUUGACAUUAUAACUUAAAAGGAUAGUUGCUCUUUUAAUCAUUAGAAUUUAUGUCAAUUAUCCAGCUUAUCAUUGCAUUCUUAAAAACUAUAUACAAUACCAUUAUCUCUGCUUUUGUAGCUAUUGAAUUUGACUUUGACAAUAUAAAUAUUUAUUAGCAACAACUUAAAAUUCAAACAAAUCUAAUAUGUAAUGUAUGAAAUACAAAUAACAAUUAAACAAAUUUUGAUUAUUUAAUAUUAAGAUAUAAUCACAUUAAUAUCAUAAGGAUAUGUGGUACUCAAAUAAUCUUUUAAAAAUCAAACCCAAAUUAUAUAUUAUUAAUAUGUAUUAUUAUCUAAUAUUUAGAUUUUGUUAAGUUACAACUGCUGUAACUUAAGUCUCUUAAAAAAUAUGUGGGUCCCACCACCUAUUAAAUUUUUUACAUUAUUUUUAAAAAAAUUAUAAGUUACAUCAGUUGUAAUGUAAAAGCCCCCCUAAUAUUUUACUUUACUUUUAUACCUUUAGAAAAACAAUAAUGCAUGAAUAAAUAAAGAACUGACAACAAAAUUGGGCCUAUCAUUAGUUUCUCGUGGUGUGAACUCUUAACAAUCCUCCCCUAUCCCACCUAAAGCUCUCGUGUGGUGUGAACGCUUGACAAUUCUCCCAUAUCUCUCCAAUAAUCUGUCAUAUUGCGAAAAGCAAUGUCAAUUGCAAUGUCGUUUCCCAUUAGUCAUAGUGGUAGAUAGGACCAGAAUUUUUUGAAACCCCUGAGGCCCUGAACUUGUUUUUCCUUUUGAAAAUAAGAAAAGGACACCCGUCUGGAGAAAUAAUUUUGUAGAACCUCAUAUCUUGAAUAACGGACAAUAAGAUUUUUUUUAAAUUAGAUAUUUUUUAAAUUUAUUAACUAAAAAAAUUAACUCUAAUAAUUUAUGAUAAAUAUAAAUAGGAUAUUAAAAUAAAUAUAAUAAUAUAUACAUAUUAAAAUAAUUUCAAUAUCUAAAAAUUUUAAUAUUUUACAAUCUCGUAUUCUAUUAAACCAAAUUAUAAUAAAUAGAGACAUAAUAUUCAAAUAAAUAUAUAAAAAUUUAGGUUAUUUUCAAUAUCAUAUAAAAUAAUUUUAAUAUUAUUAAUACAUGAUAAAUAUUAUAUUAAUUGUAAAAUCUAUUUAACCUAAGGAUUUAGUUAAAAUUUUAAAAUAAUUACAAAUAUUUUAUAAAUACAAAUAAAUUAAUUUACAUUUUAAAAAUUAGUAUUGAAAUUUAUUAUUACUUGGACAAAUUAACACCAAAAUUAAUAUCUAUGCAAUUUGUGUCAUUUACUUUUGCUUUGUAAUAUUUUUUAAAUGAGUCCCGAUUGGUUCAUUGGCAGAUAAAUGAGUCGGUUUUUCUGUUUUUAUUUUAUUUUAUUGUUUUUGAAAAUGGUUUUUCUGUUACGAAGCUUCUCAUGGAUGAAUUUUUUUUUUAAUUUGGGUAAUUUUUAAUUGGGUCCUAAUUAUUUCUAGAAAAAAAAUUCAGAGACCAAAAGUUUACUAAAUGAAUGAAUUAAAUCCUUUUAAGUGCAAAUUUAUGUCAUUCAAGCCCUUAACCCAAUUCUUCCGUUAAAAAAAUUAGUGAAAAUGUUAAGUUAAAUAUAAAAAGACAGGUAUACCCUUAUAAUCAUAUUAGUGAUUUAAAAUACAAUUUUAGCCUUGGACAUUAUUUUUUUUUUCAAUCUAACAACCUAUUUAUCAAUUUGAGUAUUUGAAAACACUAAACGAAUAUCUUUCGCCAAUUUUUAUAAAAAUUCAAAUAUAAAGAGUGAAUUAUACAUGAAAAUGUAAUUUGCUAUCCAUAUAAUUUCAUCACAUCAAUAAAAAUAUGAUAAUUGUUAAACUAAAUAACAUAUGUAUUGAAUAUAAUAUUAAAAAAAACACAAUAACAUUCGGUCUAAAAAUGAAAUUAAAAGUAUGAAAGUCAAUUAAAUUCAAACUAACAAAUACCUUAACAAUACUAAAGUAAACUGAAAUUUAAACACAAAAAAUAGUUAAUUGUCUUCUGAACUCUAUAAUGGAGAAUUAAAUGCCAACCCAAGGUGAAAUUGUACUAUCCUACUCCCUGUUAACUAUGAUAAGUUCUUCAUUUUGAGGUUGAGGUACAAUCCACAAUAGUUGUGUAUACAGUCCCACUAGUUGAGUGACAUUGAUUGAAGCCUAACUAGCUUGUUUUGGAACUAUUGCCAAUUGAUUGUUCAUUGACAUCUACUUCUUGAGAUUGUGGGUUAGUUUCAUGCUAUUCAAAAAAGAAAAAAAAAACAUCAAUUUCAUUAAAUAAAAAAAAAAGAAUCAAUCUAUUCAAUAUAAUUCCACAAUCAAAUCAAACAUAUAUAGCUAGUCAUGUUUUAUUAGCUGCAUACACAUCACUAGGAUCACCAAGUUAUUAAUCCAUUUGAUAACAUAACAAAAAAAAAUAUAAUGAGAUUCAAUUACAAAAUCAGACCUGUGUGGUUGAUGAAGUGAUAUCACUUGCCUGUGCACAAAAAAAAAAUCACCAAGUUUUAAGCAAUUUAAUGAAAAAGAACAAAAAACAAUCCUUUAGAAUUAAAUUUUCAAAAUCAUAUUAAACACGUCCACUUGAUUAAGUCUUAUUUCUUCCUUACACACAACCAAUAUCACCAAGUUUUAAGCAAUAUCUAGUGCAAAAGAAAAAAAAUCCUUUUGAAUUUAAUUAUAAAAUAUAAUUAAAUUAAACCAAUGCACUUGAUGAAGUCCUAUUGCUUCCCUGCACAACAUGAAGAUCAAUAUUUGUUAACUUCACCAAACGAAAUUUAAAAAACAAAAAUGACUCUUAUAUUAUACCUUUAUGGUUCUUGUGGUUUUUGGAAAAUUAGGGCAGCCCCUUUUGUUGUGCCCAAGAUGUCUGCAAGCACCACAUUUGAUAAUAAACCGUUUAUUAGUUAGUUUGGCCUCACCAAUGUCUUUUGUUCUUUUCUUUUUCGGUCUACCAACUGGAGCCUUUAUGUAAGGUGGUCCAACCUUCACAGGCACCACAACAUCAGGUGAAGGUUCAUCUUCCACUUUAGGCCAUGCACACUCAUAAGGAAUAGGAUUUAUAGUCCCUAUGUAUGUCAUCAUAAAAAAUUCAUUGGUCAGAUAAUGAUGCACAUAAUCUUCACGUUGCCCUCCUUUAUUAAAAAUAGCAGCUACUGAAUGUUUGCAAGGCACUCCACUAACUUGCCACAUCUCACAUUCACACGUACCAUCUAUAAUAUGUACUAGGAAAUUUCUAUAGCCAUCUUGACAACAUUCAAACAACUCCUCUCUACCUCCAAAGACCUUAAUUCUCCUUGUCUCAUUUGAGGAUUGAUUUGGUCUGUCUCUAGCAUAUGGGGUCAAACGGUCUUGCCAAGUUUCCCCUUGUUGAUAUUUUUCCAAUAUUCUCACCAUUAGUUGUCUACGAAUAUGCUCAAGAAUGGUUAGGACAAGCUUGUCCCUAACCUCAUCCACCCACUUAUUAAAAGAGUCAAUCAUGUUGUUUGUAACAUGGUCAAAUUUCACAUGGUGAUCAAACCCGCUUCUAGACCACUGUGCAGAUGGUAUUUUUCUCAACUAUUCACAACAAUUUUAGUCUUUAGCCCUAAUUUGACUCAUUGCCCUCUCAAAGUCAUACUGAUUUACAGCCCUAUAAGCUUUCCAAAAUAACCCCAUGACAUUCAAACCAGGAAACUUACACUUCAAAUUGGCAAAGAUAUGCCUAGCACAAUAUCUAGUACUAGCAUUAGGCUAAUAUUUUUCCAGUCCCUAUAAAAGACCUUUUUGUCUAUCACUAAUAAUAGUCACAUGCCUAUGAUCAUCAUCCCUAAUGAAUUCCUACAGCAAAGAUAAAAAAUAACCCCAACUAUCAUAGUUCUCUGCCUCACAUAUGCAAAAAGCCAGCGGAAAAAUUCCACUAUCAACAUCUAAUGCAACAACAAAUAACAAUACUCCCUUGUAUGGCCCCUUCAAGUGACACUCAUCCAAUCCUAUGAAAGGUCUACACCCAGUUAGGUACCCCACUUUAAGUGUAGGAAAUGACAAAAAAAAAAAAAAACUUUGAAAACCUAGGCUAUUUGACUAUGGCCUAUCAACCUUUACCUUGACACAAGCACCUUUAUUCAUUUUCAUUAGAAUGUGAGCAUAUUUCAAAAGCUUUCCAUAGCAAGUAAUGUGGUCAGCACCUCGGUUUUUUAAUGCAAUUUUUUUGCCCUGUAUAGUUUUUGUUUGUCACAUUCAAUCCCAUGUUUAUCUUUUAACUCACUCCUUAUAACAUUUACACCAACUCCUAGGUUAGUUUGAAUAAGUUCAGCACAACUUUAGCUAUCCAAAGUGCUGUUGCAUCUUUGUUAACUGAUUUAAUAUGGCAAUCAUGUUUCCCUUUAAUAUACCUAACUUUAAAAGUUAUCCCAUCAACCAUCGAUGAAGCAUGAAAUUUCCAAGUUCAUUUUGGAUUGACACAAUAACAAGUAUACUUAACACCAUCAUUUUUAAUCCUAUUUAACUCAAAAUCCUCUUGGAUUGCAUAUUUCACCAUAACCUCUCUUAAUAAUGCAACAGAUUCAAAGGUAUUUCUUACUUUUAGACUAACUGAACCAUUUAGUUUUGGUUUCCACUCAUUAUCAAUAAUGGAUUCAUACAUAUGUGAGAGACCAUUCUCUUCAUCAAAUGAGUGCACUCCGAUAAAGCCAUCCUCACUAAAUUUUUCAAACUUAUCAGUACCCAUACUAACACCUAUAUUGAUAGGACUUUUAGAUCCUAUUACAACACUUUCAUGACAUGAUUGACCACCUAACCCAGUGUGCACCUCAAACUCAAUAACAUGCCAACUAUUAGUAAAGAACUCCUAAAAAACCGAAUACAAUUCACUAUCAUUUGAAAUUAGCUUCCUCUGCCUACUUGUAGUCCAUGGUAACACAACAGAAAUUUCAAUCAAAUCCAUUUCGUUGUGUCCAUAUUUAACCAUGACUUCUAGAAUUUCAUGAAACAACCUAAUACUCUUAUAUUCCUAUGGGUUCCUAUAUCCUAUCUCAUACACUGCCCCAUUAAUUUUAACCAACAAAAAAAAGGUAACAUGGCUACCUGCAUCAAUUUUAAACAAAAGGUAUUGCAUCAAAAAAUGGCUAAACUAAUACAAUUUUAUUUAGCAAAGAAUAAAAAAACUCAACCUAAAUGAAAUAUACAUGUAAUUCAGUUAAAAAAGGUACAAAAGCAAAUUCAAUCUAAUACAUAUAAAAAUAAAAAUUGAAAAGAAAAAAUAACCCAGCAAAUAUAGAGAAUUUAGUCUAAUAUAUAAAAAUUACCACUCAUAAUAACACAUAGAAUUCAAUUUUACAUGAACAAAGAAGCAAAUACAACGAAUUCAAUCUUAUUAAUAUAACGAUACCAAUUAGUUGAAAUGAAAUAUUGUACAUAUACAACAACUCAAGAAAGCAAAUAAAAUAAGCUAAAUAAGUUCAAUAAAUACAUAUAUAAAUAUGGUGUAUUUGUUCUAUUUAUUAUAUAAAGAGCAAAUUAAAAAAAGUAUAUUAAAUACAACAUUCAAUAAAAAAAUCCACCAAUAAUUAAACAUAGUUUGUCAUUUAGAAAAAUAGACUUGAAAAACCUAAUUUUUCACAAAGAUCACUAAAUAUGGAAACAAUUUUUUCAGAAAAUGCUUGCAAAAAUCACUAAAAAAUUAGAGUUACUAACUUUGAAACUCAGGUUCUCUCCAACACUUGAACUCAACCAAUGCUAACAAAUCUUUGGUCAAAAUCACAAUAGAUUUAUACAACAUGUUUUGCGCCAUCCCACGUUCUCUCAAUCUCUCCUCUCACACGAAGAAUACGGCAGUUUCUAUAGUAUUUUUUUUUUUCGUUUGAAAGAACUUUAACUUGGUUAGGUUAAUUGACUUUGCUUUAAACUAUUGCCACCUGUAAGCAAACUAUUGCCACCUGUCAAAAAUAAAAGAAUGAGGAAGGGUUCAAUUGUUCUUUUACUAAAAUGUCCUCAAUGUUGUUAAUAUCUCUAACGGACGAGUUAAGUUAAGGACUUGAAUGACAUUACUUUGUACUUGAAAGGAUUUAAUUGAUUUAUUUAGUAAACUUCUGGUUUUUGAAUUUUUUUCUAAAAAUAAUGAGGGCUUAAUUAAAAAUUACCCUUUAAAUUUUAUAGAUUCUCUGCGAGCGCAGUUAGAAGUACCAAGUUUUGUUAGGUAGAAGGGUAUUUAAGUAAAUCUGCCCACAAUGAAGAAUAGUUCAGAACAGUUGAGGAAGCAUGAGAAUACUUGAGGAAAGCCUGAUAAGAAUUACGGCCGGAUCUGCACCCUUUCCUCUAUAUGUGUCUUCAAUAUAAAUGGCUCAAAUAUAUGCGUUAUGAUCUUUUAAUAUUUCGCCUCUGAUAUUGCCCACAUUGCUUACUGCAACACAUAAAGCACUUCGUUUACCCCAAAUCCUGAUAGGGAAGUAUAAAUAUAUGCUUCCGAAAUAGCGCAACUCUCCAUAAUUAUUUAAUAUGCCUCUCAAUGAAGCAAUCACCUUCAUUUACAACUCUGCGAUUAUUAAUCCUACAUACACGUGUUUCUUUUGUCUCUAAAAGUAUUCUCAAUUAAUUUACAUAAUUUAAUAUAAUAAGUACCUAAGACUAGACAAAUUUUCAUUACAAUAAAAUGAAUAAAUUAUAAUAGUAUUGACACAAUAAUGUCAAUAAUAAAAACUUUAAGAAGCCUAUAAAUUUUAAAAUAUGACUCAGAGUGCUACAAUGAACCACAACAAGUUAUUAUAUGAUCUAUAAUCAAUAUUCUAAUGAUAACAGAGUUCCUCUAUUUUCAAUCCCCUACUUUUCUAUUUAGCGAUUGUCAAAUUUUAUAUCUAAAAUUCUUCUAAUUUUACACUAAGGUUUAUUUUUUUAAAAAAAAAGGGGCAGGAGAAAGAGGCUAGAGAGUAUUAAAAAAUGUCAUUCUAAAUUUUCACUUGAGCGUGGUGUGAUUUUUAUCAUUUUUUAAAAUUGGCCAUUUAUAUUGAGUAAAUAAAAGAAUGAAUAGACGUUUGGACCACUUCUUUUCUGUUAUAAUAAAACAUGAGAUGUCUUCUCUUGAUGCUUUCGUCACAAAAGAAUAUGUUUAUGUCAUCAUAGGCUUAAAUGGGGUAAGUAAAUUAAGAUCGAGGACAAGUUUGUUUAAGCACUAAAGUCGCUAAAUAAAAGAAAGGCUCAUAUAAAAAUUACCUAAAGCACCAAAUAUUGUUAUUCAGCUACUUCUUUUAUGUUACAUUAUUUUCUACGCAAAUUUAUAUAAAUAAUUUAUAACUCCCAUCAUUAUUAAAAAAAAAAAAAACUGUAGCAAUUGUGGUUAUAUCACGUGGUGUGAUUGUUGUGAAAAUUUUAAUAUACUCGCAAGCGCACGAAUCUAGAAAUAGAGUAGUGGUAACGAGGUCGAUCCCACAGGGAUUGAUAAAAAGUCUAAUUUAAAUCUAAAAUUAAUAUUACUCCUAACCUAGUUGAGCAAAUUGAGUUUUUAAGAAAAUUAAACCAAUUAAACUAAGGAAGCAAUUAAAAUAAAAGAGAAUUCAAUAAGAUAGAAAUUACCAAGGUUUCAGAAUCCACCACUAUUCAACUAGUAAUUAUCUAAUUAUUAAUUAAUCCCCAAUUUUAGAGUGACAACUCGAAAUCAAUCUAUGUCAUCUCAUAGAUAUAACAAUUAAGCCCAAGUAAUUAAAUCUAAUGUAGGUUCUUUUUCUGCUUAAUAAUAUGACAUCUAAGCAUCCCAUGUAAACAUAUUGAAUAACAAAGAGUCAAAGUUUUCCUAAGCACUCUAUGUAAACAAUUUAAUGAAAGACAUAAAAUCAAAGAUAAUCAUGUAUAAACUUUAUAGAUCCAAGCAUAGAAUUAAUCGAAUAUUAAUCCUAACAAUCAAUAAUGCAUGACAGAAUUGAUGAAAAGAUUUUAAUAACAUCCAAUUAAUCAUGUGAAAUAAAAACCAUAAUUAUCAAAGAACAUAUAUAGGGAAUUAAUUAAAUAAAAAGAGAUAAUUAUUUCAUUGAAUAGGGUUUCAUCCUUAACCUCAGUAUAAGAGAAUUAGUUAGACAUACUUGAAUUGGGAACAACAAAAAAAAUAAAAUCACCCAUGGAAACCGAACUGCUGCUGCCCAACCUUGCGUCUUGCGUCUGCCGAAUUCUCCUUCUCCUUUCGUUUCUGUCCAGCAGCUCCCUUUUAUAUUGCUUGGCCACGGAAUCCUAUUGUGAUUCUAAUAACUAAACCAACUCUUACAAGCUAAAGCUCUAAGCUUGCCACGUAAUUGAAAACAAUAAAAGCCAAAAGCUAUUGAUUUCCUUCCUUUAUUCUACUUUGACUUUCCAUUCAAAGGCUUAAUUAAAAGCUUUGUUUUUAUGUGCUGCCCACUUUAGCUUUAACUUUCAUCUUUGUUUGCACGAGCAUGGAGAAUUCAAUUUAUUGGAUUCGGCUUCUUCCACAUGCACGUAUGUCUAAUUGGUUCCAAAUCAAUUAAUCUUUAAUGCUUACAAAUUGAACUCCUUUAUGCUCUUUUUAUCCAUAAUCUCCAAUUAAUUCCCUAUUCAAUAAAAUAAUUCAAUUAAUUAAAAAUAACAAAUAAAAAUAACUAGCAAUUAAAUAAUUAAGGGUAAAAUAUGUAUAUAAAUUAUGCUCAUCAAAUACCCCCAAACUUAGAUUUUGCUAGUCCUCGAGCAAAACUAAAAAAAAAAAAAAACAAAAAUAAAAAUAAUGAAACAAAAAGUAAAUCCGAACUAAACCACUUUCGCAGGUAAUCGCGAUUGCAUUUAGCGUAUGCAACAAGCCUUUAAACCCCUAGGCGGCCCUAGUGGACGAGUUAUAGUCUCGUGAGGGCUUCAGUGAUGAUACCCACAAACAUCAUUUUUCAAAGAAUUAAAAUAAAAAUAAAAUGAAAAGAACAACAAGCUUUAAACAAAACAUGAAGAUAGCCUCAAAGAUUGCAUAAAUUAUAUAGCUCAAAGAAAAUUUCAAAUAUUGGCAAAGUUCUAACUUUAAUUCAAUAAUCAAUCCCAUCUCUCUUUCGAUUCUUGUAGUGUGUGUGUGUGAAAUCAAUUCAAUCAAAUCCAUUCCCAAAAUCCUCAAUAUCAAUAGCCUUCGCCUCAAACAAAGAAAAGAGUAGAUCAAACUAAUCUUAUCAUCUUGAUCUCCAAUUUUUUUUUUCAGGCUUUUAUGUGCAUUUUCUUUUGAUUUUUUUUUUUUAGCACAUGCACUUGAUUUUUUUUUCUUUUCCUUUUCUUUUUUUUUUGUUUUUUUUUCUUAACCAUAGUCAGGAGCUUUCACUCUACCCCUUAAGGUAGCCUUCUUCUCAUGGUAGAUUAUCCUCUACAUACUUGUGGUACAUAGGCCCAAAUUACUCAAGGAUAACUUCACUCUUAAGGGUUAUAGGUAGCUAUUUCUGACUUUGGCGCCUGUGUAUACUAAUUUGUAUUGUGGAGAUAAGAAUCAAGACAAACAGUCAUUUACUCUAUCUAAAAUUCUCAACUCAGGCUGUGUCAAUUUCAAAUUUCAAGCCAAAAUUAUAAAAGAACUGAUAUUAGUGCUCAUAGUUUAAAGAAUCUCAAUCAAGAGGAAUUAACACAAGAAUCAAGUAUAAACUAAGACAAUAUUCAACCCUUUCUAAAAACCAUAUUCAUUGUCAAUCAAGUUCUUAUCAUUGGCUUUUCACAUAAAAACAAAAAGAAAAAAAAAAACAAAACAUUUUUUUUUGAAUUUUUUUUAAUAACAAACAAAACACACGCUAUUCCCACCCCUAAAUUUAUUCGGAACAUUGUCCUCAAUGUUUCAUAAACAAAAGAUAUGCAUGCAAACAAAUGAAAGAGAAAUAAUAAUAAUAAUAAUAAUAACAAUAAUAAUAAACAUAAAUAAUAAAAAGAAAGUUGGAGAGAACACACCUGGAUGGGCUGGGAAAGCUUAAAAGAAAAUGCCAAAUGAAAAGAAAACAUUAAAAUAUAUAUAUAUAUUAGAAAAGAAAAUAAAUAAAGAAAAGAAAACCGACUAUUAAAAUAAAACAAGAGUGUAAAGAUGAACUUAAUUAAUCCUGAUAAACAGGAUCAUCUAAAAGUAUCUCCUCAACUUCUGGUGUUUUUAAUUCUAAAAAUGGUUUUAAUCUUUGACCAUUCACCUUAAAUAAAUCACCAUUUUUAGGAUUUUCAAUUUCAAUUGCUCCAUAAGGGAAGAUAGUACGAACUAUAAAAGGAUCAGACCAUCGAGAACGUAACUUACCUGGAAAGAGAUGCAAUCGGGAAUUAUAUAAAAGUACUUUCUGACCUGGUGUAAAGGCUUUUCUCAAAAUAUGUUUGUCAUGAAAGACUUUCAUUCGCUGUUUAUAAAUCUUGGCAUUCUCAUAUGCAUCAUUCCUGAUCUCUUCAAGUUCUGCUAGUUGUAAUCUUCUCUUGGACCCAGCUUGCUGCAUGUCAAAAUUGAAUUUCUUGAUAGCCCAAUAUGCACGAUGCUCCAACUCUACUGGCAGAUGACAUGCUUUUCCAUACACAAGUCGAUAAGGUGACAUCCCAAUUGGUGUUUUAAAAGCAGUUCUAUAUGCCCACAAUGCAUCAUCAAGUCUCAAAGACCAAUCCUUUCUAUCUGGCCUAACUGUUUUCUCUAGAAUCUGCUUGAUCUCUCUAUUAGAAAUCUCUACUUGGCCACUGGUUUGAGGAUGAUAUGGGGUGGCAACCUUAUGUGUAAUGGAAUAUUUGUCCAAAAGAGUUUUGAAAGGUUUAUUACAAAAAUGGGUACCACCAUCACUAAUGAUUGUUCUAGGAAAACCAAAACGAGACAGAAUAUUACUCUUCAAGAAUUUCACUACAACCCUAUGAUCAUUGGUUUUGCAUGGAAUAGCUUCAACCCACUUCGACACAUAGUCCACUGCAACCAAUAUAUAUUGAUAACCAAAAGAUGGAGGGAAAGGUCCCAUGAAAUCAAUACCCCAUACAUCGAAGAUCUCAACCACAAGAAUAGGAUUGAGUGGCAUCAUGUUCCUCUUUGAAAUGCUACCCAUACGUUGGCACCUAUCACACAAAGAACAGAAAACAUAAGCGUCAUGAAAAAGAGUAGGCCAAUAAAAACCACACUGUAAAAUUUUUGUUGCUGUCUUUUUAGCACUAAAGUGGCCUCCGCAAGCUUGUUCAUGGCAAAAUGAGAUAACACUUUGAAUUUCAUUAUCGGGAACACAUCACCUAAUAAUCUGAUCAGCACAAUAUUUAAAUAAAUAGGGAUCAUCCCAAAAGAAGUCUUUCGCUUUAGAUAAGAACUUUGUUCUAUCUUGCUUAGUCCAGUGCUCUGGGAUUUGACCUGUAGCAAGGUAAUUAACUAUAUCAGCAAACCAUGGUACAACAUUUACACUCAUAAGUUGCUCAUCUGGGAAAGACUCAUUCAAAGGUAAAGAUUCUGGAAUAAAUUUAAGAUCAAGGCGAGAUAAAUGAUCCGCCACAACAUUUUCAGAACCUUUUUUAUCUCUAAAUUCAAUGUCAAAUUCUUGUAAAAGCAACACCCAACGAAUCAAUCUUGCCUUAGCAUCUUUCUUAGUAAACAAAUAUUUUAAAGCAGCAUGAUCAGUAAAAAUAAUCACUUUACAACCUAUAAGAUAAGAUCUGAAUUUAUCAAGUGCAAAUACCACAGCUAGCAUUUCUUUUUCUAUAAUUGAAUAGUUCAACUGUGCAUCAUUGAGUGUCAUACUAGCAUAAUAAAUCACAUAAGGCACACGAUCUAAUCUUUGUCCUAAAACUGCUCCUACAGCAUAAUCAGAUGCAUCACACAUAAUUUCAAAAGGCAAAUCCCAAUUAGGUGGCUGAAUGAUAGGUGAAGAAGUCAAUAAUUUCUUAAGGUUUGCAAAAGCAUCAAGACAAGAUUCAUCAAAGAUAAAAGGUGCAUCCUUAACAAGUAAAUUGCAUAAGGGUCUAGAAAUUUUACUAAAAUCUUUAAUGAAUCUUCUAUAAAAACCAGCAUGUCCAAGGAAAGAUCUUACUUCUUUUACGGAUUUGGGAUGUGGAAGAUUAGAAAUUAAAUCCACCUUAGCUUUGUCGACUUCUAUACCUUUGCUAGAAAUUAUAUGACCAAGAACAAUACCUUGUUUUACCAUGAAGUGACACUUUUCCCAAUUUAGAACCAAGUUCUUUUCUUUACAUCUCUGCAAAACUAAUGUUAGAUGCUGCAAACAUUCAUCAAAAGAAUCUCCAUAAACAGAAAAAUCAUCCAUGAAUACUUCAAGAAAUCUCUCAACCAUAUCAGAAAAAAUACUAAGCAUGCAUCUUUGAAAAGUAGCAGGUGCAUUGCAUAAACCAAAUGGCAUUCUCCUAUAUGCAAAAGUUCCAAAUGGACAAGUAAAAGUAGUUUUCUCCUGGUCCUCUGGAGCUAUAGGGAUCUGAUUAUAACCUGAAUAUCCAUCUAGAAAACAAUAAAAAUCAUGACCUGCAAGUCUAUCAAGCAUUUGAUCAAUAAAUGGAAGAGGAAAAUGAUCUUUUCUUGUGAAUGAAUUUAAUUUUCUAUAAUCAAUGCAAACACGCCAACCUGUAGUUACUCUAGUGGGAAUUAAUUCAUUAUUAGCAUUAGUAACUACUGUAACACCAGAUUUCUUAGGAACAACUUGCACAGGGCUAACCCAAGAGCUAUCUGAAAUAGGAUAAAUAAUUCCUGCAUCUAAUAAUUUGAUUACUUCAGCUCUUACCACUUCUUUCAUGUUAGGAUUUAGCCUACGUUGCAUUUCCCUAAUAGGUUUAGCAUUUUCUUCAAGAUGAAUACGAUGCAUGCAAUCUACUGGAUUAAUACCUUUAAUAUCAGCGAUGGUCCAUCCUAUUGCCUCCUUAUGCUCUUUUAGAAUAUCUAACAAUUUACCUUUUUGCUCAAGAUCGAGGGAAGAAGAAAUAAUAACAGGUAGAGUGUCAGAUUCUCCCAAGAAUGCAUAUUCCAGAGUGUCAGGCAGUGCUUUGAGUUCCAAUUUUGGUGGUGCCUCCGCAGAUGGGCCAAUUUUCUUCUCAGAAUGAGGCAGUAGUUCUGACUUUGUCUUCCAUUUAAUUGUGUCCGUAAUUAGAGGUGCAUCAAGUAAAGCGUUGAUUUCUGCAAUUGCACUGUCAUCAUUAAAAGAUAAAUCAGAAUGAGUUAGACAUGCCUCUAAUGGAUCAUCAUUAUGGUUAGAAAUGAAUGAAUCUUCUACUAAUUCCUCUAUCAUAUUCGCUUCAACAAAUUCAUCUUCUUCUUGUGGCUGCUUGGUAACAUUAAAAAUAUUCAAUUCCAUGGUCAUAUUACCAAAAGAUAACUUCAUGUUUCCAUUCCUGCAAUUAAUAAGAGCAUCAGCUGUAGCUAAGAAAAGGACGACCUAGAAUAACUGGGGUGUGUUUCUUAGGAUCAUGUACAUGCUGAAUAUCAAUAACAAUAAAAUCAACAGGAUAAUAAAAUUUAUCAAUCUGUAUCAACACAUCCUCUAUAAUACCACGAGGUAUUUUCAUUGAUCUAUCAGCAAGUUGCAAAAUAAUAGGAGUUGAUUUUAACUCACCUAAUCCAAGUUGCAUGUAAACAGAAUAAGGCAAGAGAUUAACACUAGCACCCAAAUCCAAUAAUGCUUUAUCAAAACAUUGGUUUCCUAUAACACAUGAGAUAGUAGGAGAACCUGGAUCCUUAAAUUUUGGUGGCAUUUUACAUUGGAGUAAGUUGCUAGUUUGUUCAGUUAAAAAUGCCUUUUUAGUGACAUGUAAAUUUCUCUUUUUCGUGCAUAAAUCUUUUAAAAACUUUGCAUAUGAAGGAACUUGCUUAAUAGCAUCGAGUAAAGGGAUGUUUAUACUUACCUGUUUGAAUAUUUCCAUAAUCUCACCUGUUGAAGUCCCUUUCUUUACCUUUGUUAACCUUUGAGGAAAAGGAGCCUUGCGAAUGUAAGCUGGCGGGCCACUCUCUUCUGGAUCAUUUGUUGAUGAGUCUUGUGAUGGAACUGGAUCUGAAGAAGUAGGCUCAGAUGUCUUCCUUGUUUGAACCUCUACUUUGUUGUCAAAUAAUUUUCCUCUUCUCAAGGUCAUAAUAGAUUUUGCUUCUUCAUGCUGAUGGCUCGAACUCGAUCCAACUUCAUGCACUCCUUUAGGAUUGGGAAUUGAUUGACUUGGGAAUUUUCCUUUUUCUCUCUCAGCUACAGUAGUUGCUAAUUGACCCAAUUGAUGUUCAAGUUUUAGAAUAGCUUGAGUGUUUGACUGAAAAGCUUGUUGGGUUGACUGAAUGAAACUUUGAAGUGUAUCCUCUAAAGAAGGCUUUCUUUGUUGGGGUGCAACAAAUUGAGACAUAGGUUGUUGGGCAUGAGGAUGUACUUGGUUAGGAGGGACAAAUUGUUGAUUGGGCAUGUUAAAUUGUUGCCCUCCUUGGUUUGACAAAGGUUGAUUUUGUUUCCAAGAAAAAUUAGGGUGAUUCCUCCAAUUAGGAUUAUAUGUGGAUGAAUAUGGACUAUUGGAGGUUUUCUCAUAUGAUUGUAAGGCAUGUACCUGCUCAGAAUAAGCAUCUGGAUAGACUGGUAAUGAUGGACAAUUUUGUGCUGUAUGAGACAAGUUAGAACAAAUAGCACAAACCUCAUUAGCUACACUAGGAUGAUGAUUUAUGGAUUGGUUCAUAACUAAGGCAUCUACUUUCCUAGAAAGUGUAGCUAGAGUGGAUUUCAUAUCUAAAUCAUCCUUAACUUCAUAUAGCCCCUUUCUAGAAACUUGAGAUGAUUUUUCCCUUUGAUUUGAAAAAUCCCACUGUUGAGAAUUUUCAGAAAGUGAAUUAACGAAAUCCCAUGCUGCCCCUUCAUGUAAGUUCAAAAAUCUCCCACCAUUCAUAGAUUCCACCAUAUGACGAUUCGACAUGGUUAAACCGUUAUAAAAGCAUUGUAUAAGUCUCCAUUUCUCAAAACCAUGAUGGGGACACUUAAGGAGUAAAUCAUUAAAUCUUUCCCAACACUCAUAAAAUUGCUCACCAUCUCUUUGAUAAAAAUCACUUAUCUCUCUCCUAAGGGCAUUUGUUUUAGACAUAGGGAAAAACUUGGUGAGAAACUUAUUACUCAAUUCAUCCCACGUAGUAAUAGACCCAGCAGGAAGUGAAUUCAACCAAGCUUUUGCUUUGUCUUUUAAUGAGAAAGGGAACAUACGAAGCCUAAUUGACUCAUCAUUAAAAUUUUGAAAACGAAAUGUAGAGCAUAUGUCAAGAAAUUCCUUAAUGUGCAAAUAUGGAUCCUCUCUCUCUAACCCAUGGAAGGAUGGCAAAAGUUGAAUGACAGAGGGCUUAAGUUCAAAGUGUGUUGCUGUAGUUUGUGGCAACACAAUACAAGAUGGUUGGUUGGCUGCAAGUGGUGAAAAAUAUUCUCUAAGGGUUUUCUCUGCUUGCACUGGUGGGAGUAUUGGCAAUAGUCUAUUUGGGUCAUCCAUCACUUCUAAAGAACUAGUUUGACUACUAUCAAUUUUUGACUCUCUUUUAACCAAACGAUUUGUUGAAUCACGUUCCCAAACACUCAUAAACUAACUAGACAAGGAAAGAAAGAGAAAUAAAAUAAAAUAAACCAACAAAAAUGAGAAUAAACGAAAUUUAAAAAUAAAAGAAAUCAAACAACCAAACAAUGAAUUUAAAAUAAAAUAAAAUUAAAAUUAAAAUUAAAAGUUUUUUUUUGUGUUUUUUUUUAAAAAUAAAAAUUGAAUAAAUAAAAUAAAAGACAACCUAAAUUAUAACUAGUGGAAGAAUCAAAUUAACCUAGAUUAAACUGACUUUCUAGCACAAUCCCCGGCAACGGCGCCAAAAACUUGAUGUGAAAAUUUUAAUAUACUCGCAAGCGCACGAAUCUAGAAAUAGAGUAGUGGUAACGAGGUCGAUCCCACAGGGAUUGAUAAAAAGUCUAAUUUAAAUCUAAAAUUAAUAUUACUCCUAACCUAGUUGAGCAAAUUGAGUUUUUAAGAAAAUUAAACCAAUUAAACUAAGGAAGCAAUUAAAAUAAAAGAGAAUUCAAUAAGAUAGAAAUUACCAAGGUUUCAGAAUCCACCACUAUUCAACUAGUAAUUAUCUAAUUAUUAAUUAAUCCCCAAUUUUAGAGUGACAACUCGAAAUCAAUCUAUGUCAUCUCAUAGAUAUAACAAUUAAGCCCAAGUAAUUAAAUCUAAUGUAGGUUCUUUUUCUGCUUAAUAAUAUGACAUCUAAGCAUCCCAUGUAAACAUAUUGAAUAACAAAGAGUCAAAGUUUUCCUAAGCACUCUAUGUAAACAAUUUAAUGAAAGACAUAAAAUCAAAGAUAAUCAUGUAUAAACUUUAUAGAUCCAAGCAUAGAAUUAAUCGAAUAUUAAUCCUAACAAUCAAUAAUGCAUGACAGAAUUGAUGAAAAGAUUUUAAUAACAUCCAAUUAAUCAUGUGAAAUAAAAACCAUAAUUAUCAAAGAACAUAUAUAGGGAAUUAAUUAAAUAAAAAGAGAUAAUUAUUUCAUUGAAUAGGGUUUCAUCCUUAACCUCAGUAUAAGAGAAUUAGUUAGACAUACUUGAAUUGGGAACAACAAAAAAAAUAAAAUCACCCAUGGAAACCGAACUGCUGCUGCCCAACCUUGCGUCUUGCGUCUGCCGAAUUCUCCUUCUCCUUUCGUUUCUGUCCAGCAGCUCCCUUUUAUAUUGCUUGGCCACGGAAUCCUAUUGUGAUUCUAAUAACUAAACCAACUCUUACAAGCUAAAGCUCUAAGCUUGCCACGUAAUUGAAAACAAUAAAAGCCAAAAGCUAUUGAUUUCCUUCCUUUAUUCUACUUUGACUUUCCAUUCAAAGGCUUAAUUAAAAGCUUUGUUUUUAUGUGCUGCCCACUUUAGCUUUAACUUUCAUCUUUGUUUGCACGAGCAUGGAGAAUUCAAUUUAUUGGAUUCGGCUUCUUCCACAUGCACGUAUGUCUAAUUGGUUCCAAAUCAAUUAAUCUUUAAUGCUUACAAAUUGAACUCCUUUAUGCUCUUUUUAUCCAUAAUCUCCAAUUAAUUCCCUAUUCAAUAAAAUAAUUCAAUUAAUUAAAAAUAACAAAUAAAAAUAACUAGCAAUUAAAUAAUUAAGGGUAAAAUAUGUAUAUAAAUUAUGCUCAUCAGUGAUCUUUUGACAAUUCUCCCACAUCCCACCAAAAACUCUCACGCGGCAUGAACUUUUGACAAUUCUCCCAUAUCCCACCAAAAAUUUGUCAUAUUGCGAAAGGCAAUGUCAAUUGCAAUGUCAUUUCCAUUAGUCAUUGUGGCAGACAAUGGAGGUCCCGAGAUAGGACUAGAAGUUUUUGAAACCCUGAACUUAUUCUUACUUUAUUUUUUCUUUUGAAAAUGAGAAAAGGACACUUGUUUGAGGAAAUAAUUUUGUAGAACCUCAUAUCGUGAAUAGGGGAUAAUAAGACUUUUUUUUUUUUACUUUACUGCAAUACUCUGUAAUUUUAUUAAUUUUAUAUUUUAUAAUAAAUAUAAAUGUGAUAUUAAAAUAAAUGUAAUAAUAUAUACAUAUUAAAAUAAUUUGAUAUUGAAAAACAUUUUAAUAUUUUACAAUCCCAUAUUAUAUUAAACCAAACUGUAAUAAAUAGACAUAAUAUUAAAAUAAAUAUAUAAAAGUUUAAAUUAUUUUGAAUAUCAUAUAAAAUAAUUUUAAUAUUAUUAAUAAAUUAGAAGUAUUGUUGAGGUUAUGGGGCCCCAACAAUUCUUCUUUGCGCUUGUGGGUGUAACAUCCUUCUGUGUAAUUCCAUUGAGGUGGCAGUAAGGUUACCUAGGGCGUAACUGCCCGGCCCAUUGGCACAAUUACAAAUGUGUGCAGCCCCUCAUGUCCAUCCACCGCUUAGUGUGGGGCUCUGCGCUUCCAUUGUAUAAGAAAAUAAAGUUGCACCUUGGCUAUCAGCUUAAGCUUUUAGCCCAAUGGUAAGCGCUUGAUCCUAACAAGUAUUACAUUAAUUGUAAAAUCUAUCUAAUCCAAGGAUUUAUUUAAAUUUUUUAUAAUAAAUUAAAAAUAUAUUAAUUAACAUUUUAAAAAUUAAUAAUGAAAUUAAUUAUAUAAGUUAUACAUAUUAGUCUACUAGAAAAAUUUAAACUAUUUCAAUCAGAUUUAUAUUUAGUGAAAAUUUUUGAAGUUAAUGUUUUUGGUUAUCAUCUACUAAGAAUCUUGUAGUUAAAAGGGGUAUUGACAUUCUUUAUUAAAAAAUUGAGGUCUACAUGACUAUUUUUUAAAUUUUAAGGGUGUCAUUUUAUUUUUGAUGAAAAUAAAAUUUCAUUUAAGUGGCUAAAAUGGUGAAUAAUACAAUGUUACAACUGGCAUAAAUGGAAGGUAGGAAACAAUCAAAAUGACCAAUAGUCUAACGCCACAGCAAGGACAUAAGGUCAAAAAUCCCCUUAUUAAUUAGUAAAAGAGAGUCCUUUGUGCUUAUAAAUAGUAAGGGCGGGCAAAAUCGGAUACAGAUCAAAUUCGGAUUAAUCUGAUAAAUUUCAGAUUGUUUGAAUUGAUAAAAAAAGUCAUCCAAAUGUAAUCUAAACUUUUGUAUGUGUAUAUAUACAUACUUGUUAUAAAUUAAAGUUGCAAAAGUCUUUAAGCAAGGCCAUUCAUAGUAAGUUUCAAAUUUUUAGGUUAAUUAUGUAACUUCAUUAUGCGGGCCAUGCAUAAAGCCCGUAGGUCUAGGCGGGACUGACCUGAGUUUUUUUACCAAUCCUACACAUGACGGGAGGUGUUAGGAAUAACAUCCCGCAUCAAUUGAGUAUUGAACUUGGGUUCAGUAUAUAAGAUUUGGACAACUCUAAACUCUUGAGCUAACUUACUAGUUUUUGGAUUGAGUUAAGCCUGUACGCUGCAAUAUUACAAAUUAGUCUUUCGUUACCAUUACUUAUUUUUUGUAUUGUUUAAAAUUAACACAAUAAAUGACCUUUCAUCCCAAAAGAACUAAAGUAAUCAUUUCGCAUUGUUACGGCCGUAUCUACACUCUUUCCUCUAUAUGUGUCUUCAAUAAAUAUAUGCGUUAAUGAUCUCUCAAUAUUUCGCAUCCGAUAUUGCCCACAUCGCUUACCACAAUAUAUUCACUUUACAAACAGAGUUUGCAACCCAAUUACUAAUAGAGGAAUAUAAAUAUGUACUUGUCAAUGAAGCAAUCACCUUUAUUUAGAAAUUUUUUAUUAUUAAUCCUACGUACACACACUUCUUUUGUCUCCAAAAAUAUUCUUAAUUAAUCCACACAAUUUAAUAUAAUAAAUACCUAAGAUUACAUAAAUUUUCAUUACAAUAGAAUAUAUAAUUUAUAAUAUUAUUGAUACAAUGAUGCCAAUAAUAAAAAUCUUAUAAACCUUACAAAUUUUAGAAAAUGGCUUAGAGUGUGAUAGGUUGAAUGAACCACAACAAAUCAUUUUCAUUAUAGUACCUAUGAUCAAUAUUCUAAUACAAAUUUUACAUUUCCCUAUAUUUUCUGUUUGGUGAUUGUCAAAUUUUAAGUCUAAAAUUUUUCUAAUUUUACCGUGAGGUUUAUGUUUUAAAGAGAGAGAGAGAGAGAGAGAGAGACUCAAAGAGAAAUAAAAAAUGUAAUUCUAAAAUUUUACUUGUGCAUUGUGUGAUUUUUACCAUUUUUGCAGUUGGCCAUUUGUAUUGAAUAAAUAAAAUAAUAAAUAGACUUAUGGACCACUUUUUUCUGUUAUAAUAAACAUCAGAGGUCCUUUCUUGAUGUUUUCAUUCCAUAUGAAUAUAUUAUAAUUUUAUUGAUACAGUAAUGUCAAUAAUAAAAAUCCUAACAAACAUACAAAUUUUAGAAUAUGGAUUAAAGUGUUACAAGUUGAGGGGAUCACAAGUUAUUUAUACUGUAAUGUCUAUGAUCAGUAUUUCAAUGAUAUCAAGGUUUCCCCUGCAAUUUUUGUUUGGUCAUCGCCAAAUUUUGUAUCUAAGAUUUUUCUAAUUUUACACGACAUUUAUUUAAAAAAAGAAAAAGAGAAAGAGAGACGCGGAGAGAAUUAAAAAUGUAAGUCUAAAUUUUCGCUUGUGUGUUAUGUGAAUUUUACCAUUUUUAAAGUUGGCCAUUUGUAUUGAAUAAAAAAGUAAUUGUUGAAUCUGGUUCGUUAGCUAUUCUUUGAUCAAGAACCAGAUCCUCCCAAGAUUCUCAGCCAAGAUUAAUCAGGAUGCAAUAUCAGCUUAGAUCAACUUCAGAGAAUCAACUAAACCCAAUAAGACUCGUAACAAAAAGGAUUAAUUACAAACUUAGAAACCAAAACCAGCAAGAAAACCAAUCACACAAAACAGAGCACAAGCUUUAACGUGGUUCAGCCAUUAAUGGCUUACAUCCACGAGUGAAUUCCUCAGACAGCUUUAUUGAAUGAUUCAAGAAGUUUGUUACAGAGAUUCUAAGAACAAGAACAAGUAAGACACUUCCUCUUUGAUUUCCCUCAAUCUCUAUCACGCACGAUUACCUCCAAACCAGAAGGCUGCAGCUUAUAUACCAGUCUUGUAACAGCUCUAACAACCCAGAUUGCACAGCUCCUUGACACGUGUACUAUGGGUCUGUUAUUUAACGAACUCAGCUUCAGCUAACUAUCACGUGAAGAACCCGUGACUCCACUUAAGUUGAGCAUAUCCAAAACGCACUCAUGUGUUGCCGUUUCGGAACCAGGAUUGGUUGUGCUUCUCACGUGAUCACUUAAAGCUUCUGAACACUACUGGAAACGCUGUCGUUUGCUGGCAAAGGUGUUUGAAUUCACCUUUCAGCCAACAGUAAUGAAUAGACUUAUGGACAACUUUUUUCUAUUAUAAUAAAACAUUUUCUUCCCCUGAUGUUUUUCAUUCCACAAGAAUGUGUUUGUCAUAAGGGGUCCAAAUGGGGUAAAUAAAUUGGGAUCAAGGACAAGUCUGUUUAAGUGUUGAAAUUGCAAGAAGACCUCAUUAAAAAAUUGCCUAAAGCCCCAUUAUUGUUAUUCAACUAUUACUUUCAUGUCACAUUAGUUUCCACACAGACACUUAUACAAAUAAUUUAUAACUCCAUCUUUAUUUGGGAAAAAACUGUAGCAAUUGUUGUUAUAUCACAGGAAAAUUUUCCAAUUAAAAAUAUAAUAAGAAUUAAUUACAAAUUUUUUAAUAAAUAUCAAUAUAAUUUAAUGGUUUAAUUUUUUUGGUAGAUCAAUAUAAUUUAAAAAAUUAAUAGCAGUAUUACUUUUUAAAAUGCAAAUUAUUAUAAUUAUAUUAAUAAUAUAUUUGUAUUUAUUAUAAAAUUUAUUUUAAUAAAAUCUUAAUUUUUUUUAAAUAUUUGUAUAUAUUGUUAUAUUUUGUUAUAAUAUUAUAUUUAUAUUUAUUAAAAUAUAAGAGUCAAUAUUUUUAAAUUAAUUAAGAUAAAAAGUAUUAUAAUAAAAAAAAAUUCUUUUAUUAAAAAUAUAAUCAUUCUCCCAAACUUAUCCUUGUCCCUUUUUGAAAGGAAAAAAUAAAUUAGAAAAGUCUAUGGUCAUGAUAACAUCUAGCCUUGUCCCGUGGGACAUGGCUACGGUGCAGAAGCUGCAAGUAACAGCUUCGAGCUUUCCCAUUUCCAUCACCUUGUAUUGGGACCUCUUUCUCUCUCCUCUAGCACCCGUGGAAGUUCCCCAUUGGCCGCUGUUACUUACAGAAGCCGUAACAUAGACUUCCCCCGUCCCGUGAUGUCCAUUGUCUGCCACUAUGAAUAAUGGCAAUGACAUUGCAAUUGAAACAUUGAAAAGGUAUUUUCGCAAUAUGACAAAGUUUUUGUUAGGAUAUGGGAGGAUGUCAAAAGUUCACACUACGUUCAUUAGCAUUAGAUCUAAUUUUAUUUCGUCAGUUCCUUAUAUAUUUAUUUCAUUUAUUUCAUGGGUCCCUCUAUGAUGCUGUAAUUAUUUUACAGCAUCAAUAGUGUAAGCAAUAUUAACCAUUAGAUUUUAUCAACAAUGUAUAUUAUAUUUAUUAAUAAAAAAAUAACAUAACCGGUUAACAGGGGUGAGCUGUUGGAUCGUGGAGUUGGUAGAAGUAUGCGAAAUUUCAAUGACGACCCCUACAGUUUUAAAAAUUCUCACAUGUUUCACUUGAAUAGCAUAUUCAGAAGAAUAACACAAAAUUUAAUAAAAUAUAUGAUUUCAAUGAAAUAUAUGAACAUGCAUAUGAAACCCACAUUCAUAGAAAUGUUUCAUUAGACUUUUAACGUUUAUCUUACCUAUGUAUCCUAAACCAUUCAUUAUCAACUUUUCGUAAUUUUAUUAAAUAGAAAUUUCAAGCAAAACAAGAAAGAGUGACAAUAUGUAAUUAAUUUGAAGAUUUAAUAUAAAACUCACAAUUGCUAAAAUAGUGCUUAAAUUAUAUCAUUAAUGUUAUAAGAUAAUUUGAUUAUCAUGUAACCAAACUAAUUUCAAAAUUUAUUUUGAAAGCAUGCAAAACUAAUUUCAAAAUCUAUUUUGAGAGCAUGCAAAUGGAUGUAGUCUCCACUAUGUGAUUUUUUUAUUCUAAUUUAUGGCCAUGGGAGAGAAUUGGAAGAUCCAUAUUUGUCCAAUAGUGAAAUAUAAAUAAUAGCCCGUCAAUUUCUCAUGUAGUAUAUUUCAUUGGCUUAUUAGCUUACAAAACUAUAUACAAGUGUUAAACAUUGGACUACUGCAUGAAAUGUCAUGUGAUAUAUUUCAUUUGACCUUAGAUUAAUUAAAUGCCUAUAAAUGGUUUACAACAUUAAUCUAAAAAUUAAUUUUCACUGAUAUUUAUAUGUGACAUAUCAAUUCAUAAUAUAUCAGGGUAAUUACGAUUUUAAUUUCCCUUCUAUUAAUAAAUAGGGGUAGAAAGAAGUACUCAAUAUGUGUGUGUGUGUGUGUGGGGGUAUCAAUUCAUGUCUUAAUGAAUACAAGAAAAAUCACAUCUACUAAUUUAACAUAUGCCUUUCUAUAAUAGUGUUUGUAAAAUAUAUUUUAUUUGCUAUACUUUGGAAGACGUGUAGUAUAUUAUUUUAUAAUUCGUUUUGUAAUUUACAGAAAACGUGUUUAACAUGUUUUAACUUUUAUUACUAUCAAAUAGAUUCUGUUUAAUACAUUUUAUAAUUUGAUUUAAGGUUUAGGCUCACCAAACAUACAUUACACCUAUACUAUUAAAAUGAAAAUGAAAAUCGGGGCUACAAAAUGAUACUGAACAUACCCUAAGUUACUUGGAGUGUUAGUUUAGAAAUAAGUAUCACUGUAGGCUUAAAUUUAUGGAACAACUUUUCAGGACUGUUGGUCUUCCUCCAUUAGCUUAAUUUAGGUCUGUAUUUUCAUUUUUUUUUAAAUGGCGCAAGAUGAUGAUGAUGAUGAAAUUGUGCUAUUUGUAAUGAUGCUCCUUCGUAUUCAAUAAGAAUCAUAUGCAUAUUCAAUAGUGAAAAUAUGAUAACUCUAUCGUAAUUUGAUCAUAUUACAAUACAAUUGAUUACUAAAAAAUGUCUUUAUAUUUUUUUAUUACAUUUUACAUUAAAGUUGUAGCACAUUAUAAAUGCAAAGCUUAAUGUUUAAUAACAUAACACUUCAACAAAAUCAACAUCUUAAGUAUGAUGUAUGAUAUAGAAUAUUGAAAUAGUUAUACCUAACACUCACAACAAUUUAUAAAAAUUUAUAGUGUUUUAUUUACAAUAUCUUUUCUAAUUAUAUAUGUAUUAAUAUCUAUCUUAAAGUCAAUUUUUGGAUUAGUAGAUUUUAAUAAAUCCAUUGGUAUAGAUUAAUAAUAACUUAAUAUUAAAAAAAUUAAUUAUACAUGUUAUUUUAUUAAUUACACUUAUUUUAAUAUUUUAUUUGUAUCAUAUGAUAUUUAUUAUUAUUUUUAUCCUAUUACUAUAUGUAUAUUUAUUUAGGUUGUGUAAAUCAAAACGUAUAAUAGUCAUUUAUGAAAAUUAAGGGGUCUGUAUUACCAUUUAUGAAACUAAGUGGAUCUAUAUGACUAUUUGAGCAAACCUUGGGAUGUGUGUGGCUUUUUCUCAAAUUAAUAUUAAUUUAAAAUUAAAAAAAUAUUUACCAACAACUUGUAGACUACGUGCUACAUUUUCAUUAAUGAUUUAAUUAUCCAUUAUAUUAAAUGGAUGAUUGAGAUUAAAAUACUUAAAACUAAUAGUCCACAUUAAUCCCAGUAUCAAUAUUGUAAAAAUACAUACAGUAUCAUAAAGAAAUCCUUAUUUCAUACAUAACUGUUUUUUUUCUUUGGUUUUUCUUUUUCCAAAACAUAAAUAGACCAAGCACAUCUCCAAAUCGGGUUGGAGCGGAGAUUCUAACCCUACGAUGGCCAUAUUAAAAUUUAAAUUUUUUUAAUUUAUUUUUUUCUUUUAUAGCUACAUCUCAAUAUUUGAAAAAAUGAUUAUACAGAUCUAUAUAUUUUUAAUAAGAGAUAUUAAGAUGCUCUUUUUUUACUAUAACACCUACUAGUUCUAUUAACUCAAAAAAUUACCAACAAAGUGUUGGCUCCACUGGCAAUGGAGUCCCCUUAAGUGGCUUGACUGGGUUUGCUCUCCAGUUCGAGUCGCAGGGAAGUCGCCUUUGUUGGGAGAACAUGUGUCUCCCGGUUUGAGCGGGGACUUCUAGUCUGGGUUGUGGUACGGGCUUAAAGGUGCUUCCCACAGUUGGGGCCCUCCCCAGGAUACCUCGUGGAUAAGACCAAAAAAAAAAACUCAAAAAAUUGACUUCAAUAUUAAUACAUAUAUUUUAAAAUUAUUUUAAUAUUUUUAAAAAAUAUGAAAAAAAAUUUAAUACUUUACAAACUUAUACUAUAUUAAACUAAAUUUUAUAAUAAAUAGAAACUUAAUAUGAAAAUAAACGUCUAAAAAUUUAAAUUAUUUUCAAUAGCAUAUAGAAUAAUUAUAAUAUUAUUAAUACCUAAGAUAUAUUAUAUUAAUUAUAAAUUCUAUUUAACACAAAUAUUUAACUAAAACUGUUAAUUGCAAUUUCUUUUGAAAACAAUAGAUCAAAUCAUUAAAGUGCAUGUGAUGAUGAUUUGCUGUUUAAUUAUUUCUUUAGAAUAUAUCCAAACGUAAGGUUGUGAACUAGUGCUUUCUUCAACUUAAUUGGGUCCAACAAUACACCGCAGCUUCCUCUUUUGGUCAUUCCAAGUUUAAUUCUUAUGAAAGAAGUUACUACUGAUUUAAGUGCAUGUGAAUGAAAAAAAACAAAUACAUAUAAUUAUUCUAUACAUGCGUCAACAAGGCAACAGUAACCAAAUAAAUGAUAUGAAAGGGGGUGCAUGAUUAAGUCCUUUUCUUAUUCAAUUCAUUGUUAUUAUCCUCAUCAACUCUUUUCUCACUUAUUUUUCAGCAGUUACUGUUCAUAGCAUUGUUAUUAUUCUCAUCACUCAUUAAAAUUAUUCUUAAAUAUUCAAGGCCGAAAAGAGAAGCUCAUCAACUGUCUGAUCCCGGAUAAUUAAAGAGGUGAACUUGUUCUAAAUCCUUUGAUAAUUUCUAUUAAUAGCAUAAUCUCCUUGAUCCAAGAAAAAACAUCUCCUGUUUGUCUUAAUCUUGUCAUUUAAUUUUCUUGAUUUAGGUUACUGUUCAUUGUUAACUUCUGUGUUCUUUAGCAUUUGUUAAUUUGCAUCCCUCCUCUAAAAGUCUCUAAAAAAGAAUGUUGCUUUUCAUUCAUACCCUUGAAACCUUUCAGUUAAUAGCCAAAACUCUAAUCUUUCUUUCUCUUCCUCUCAAAAAUGUGCCAAAAAAUGUGCCAAAAAAGUGAAUCCAAUUUUUUCAACAGCAAAUAUAUAUGUACACACACACACAUAUUGUUAAAAAGUGCAGAAAAGCCACUCAAAAACGUGGAGAAAAAUCACUCAAAUUUAUACAAGCGUCAACAGGGAAACAGUAACCAAAUACGUGAUACAAAAAGGGGUGAAUGAUUCUGUCUUUUCCUUUUGCAAGUCGCUGUUAUUACUCUCAUCAACUCCUUUCUCACGCAUUUCUCAGCAGUUACCAGUAAUAUUUAAAAUCGCUGUGUAGGUAUGCAAAAGUUCGGUAAGUGCACUAAUAAUUAUUUGCCAGAAAAAAAGUAGUUGCGUCAAUGAUAUAUUAAUCUUUAGUUGAAUUGACAUCCAGGAACCCAAUUGAGUUGCUUAAUGAUUAAUUAAUUAAUCAAUUUAUAAUAUAUUAAUCUUUUUAGUUGAAUACUUAAAAUCUUAGACCCUAAACAAUAAAUUAUUUGAGCCAUAUAAAAGAGAAAUUAUCAUUCAAUUUUUUUUUAUUUGUAGCUUAUAAAAGAGAAAUUAUCAGUCAUUUACUCAAAGUUUAUUCAAUUAUUAAAAUUAUUAUAAAAAUUUAAAUUUAUUUAAUUUUACACCCAAUGUAUGUAAUUUGUAUUAAAUAUCCGUUAAAAACAUAAAGUUAUUCUUUCAAAGUCACAAAAUAGGAGCGAACACAAAAUUGUAGUGGUGAUUAUGUUUUGGGAGUAACUUUAUCUUUUUAGUAAACAGUUGAUACACAUUGUAAUAAUGGGUAUAAAAUUAAAUAUAUUUAAAUUUUUAUAACUUUUUGGAAAAUAAGAUAAUUCUUAGGUGGAUAAUUAAAAAUUUUUCUUUUCAAAAUAUUUUGAAAACAAUACCAAAUGUACCAUAUCAUUGUUUAUUUACACUAUAUAUAUAUAUAUAUUAACUCAUUCUUAUCCACAAUCUGUCAAUGAAAUAAUUAUUGACACUCAUAUUUGAAAACUUUCGAAAAGAUAAAAUCCAAUAUGAAAGGUGAAACGUUAUAAUCAUAGUAACUAGAAAAUGGAUUGAUUUACAAAUAUCAAUUUAAACAAUUUUCAAGUUGAUCGACAAUUUAAGUAGAUUGACAAAGAUUGAAGUAAUUACUGUUGGUGAUUGAUUGACUUUGUCCUUAUCCUCGCCGCCUUCUUAUCAAAAGUCGAGUGUCAAUUGGGCCAGGGCUUCUGAUUGCAACUAAUAGACUUCAUAUACGCAUAAUGGUCCCUACGUACAUACGUACCAAUAUUUGAUUGAAAAAGGGAUGCGUGCUUAAUGCUCAAGUCGUCUUCUUUUGGAAAUUCAUUGUUAUUACUCUCAUCAACUCGUUACUCGCAUUCCUCUUUAGUCAACAGAGAUCCUUUUGCUCAAUAAAAUUUUUCUUCUAUAUUCAAGGUGAAUACAGCAGCUCAUCAACUCUGAUCCCAGACAGGUAAAGAGGUGCACUUGUUCUAAGACCUUUAAUAUUCUUUUAGUAGCAGAAUCUCUGAUACUUGAUCUUCAUAGCGGUUCUUUCUUAAUUUGCAUCAACUUUCCUAGGAAAAAAUUCUCUGGUUUUUCUUAAGUCAUAUAAUUUAUUUUUCUUAAGUCAUAUCAUUUAUUUUUAGCAGCAGAAUACUUGAUCUUGAUAACGGUUCUUUCUUAAUUUCCAUCAACUUUCCUUGAAGGAUACCUUUUUGUUAAUAGCGAAACCUCUGAUCCUUAAGAUGGAAAAAGAAAUUCUCUAUUUAGAUAUCAGUUGGUUCAAGAUCAAUAUCGCGAUGUUGUUUGCAGUCUUUUCUUUCUCUGUCUUUCCCUUUAGUUCAUUUUAAUUUAUUUGUAUUCCUUUCUUUGACAUAUUAUUAGAUUUGUUAAGUAGCAGGCAAUGGCAGAAGUGGGUCUGGCUGCUUUUUCCAGCGUUGUAUCAGAAGGUGCAAAGUCACUGUUCAAACCGAUUAUACGGCAGAUAUCUUAUGUGUUCAAGUACCAGAGCUACAUAGAUGGCCUAAAAGAUCAAGUGAAGCAGCUGGGAUAUAGAAGAGAAACGGUGCAACAACCUGUUAAUCAUGCUAGACUACAAGGGGAUGAGAUUUAUGAGGGUGUCACAGACUGGCUAAAUCAAGUUGAUGAAUUCAGUGAAGGGGUUGCAAAAUCCAUCAUUGAUGAUGAAGAUAGAGCUAAGAAGUCCUGCUUCAGAGGAUUGUGCCCAAACUUGAUUUCUCGUUACAAGCUUAGUAAACAAGCAGCAAAGGCCGCAGAAGCUGCCGCUAGUCUCGUGGGAAAAGGAAACUUCUCUAAUGUUUCCUACCGUCCUGCUCCAGAGAGUACAGAACAAAUGGAAGUGAAAGAUUACGAGGCCUUUGAUUCAAGAAUGAAAGUAUUUCAAGAUGUUGUGGAGGCGUUGAAGGAUGAUAAGCUCAACAUAAUUGGGGUCUACGGCAUGGGCGGCGUGGGUAAAACCACGCUAGUCAAGCAAGUUGCAAGGCAAGUGAUGGAAGAAAAGUUGUUCGAUAAGGUCGUUAUGGCUGAGGUAACACAGACCCCAGAUCAUCAGGAAAUUCAAAAGAAACUUGCUUCUGAUUUAGGCAUAAAGUUUGAGUUGAAUGAGAGUAUAUUCGACCGAGCGGAUCGAUUGCGUGAAAGAUUGAAGAAAGAGAAGCGGGUCCUCAUUAUAUUGGAUAAUAUUUGGAAAAAACUCGAGUUCGAAAAAGUUGGAAUUCCUUCCAGGGAUGUUGAUGAUAAAGAUAAAAAGGAUGAUCAGAGACGAUGCACAAUAACAUUGACGUCUAGAAGUCGAGAUUUAUUGUGCAUUGAUAUGAAUUCUCAGAAAAAUUUCUCGAUCGAUGCUUUGCCACGAAAAGAAGCAUUGCAGUUAUUUGAGGAGAUAGUGGGUGAUUCAACUAAAAUAUCUGCUUUUCAAAGUAUAGCAAAUGAGAUCGUUGAAAGAUGCGGAGGUUUGCCUGUUGCACUGAGUACAGUUGCAAAUGCUCUGAAAACUAAGGAGCGUGACUUUUGGAAAGAUGCAUUGAAUCAGCUAAGAAGAUCGGAUGCAAGAGAAAUUCAUGGCAUGCAAGCAAAUGUGUACACCUCCAUAAAAUUGAGUUAUGACUUCUUGGAAAGUGAGGAGGCAAAAUCUCUGUUCCGUCUUUGUGGUCUAUACAGUGAAGGUAAUGUCAUACAAGUUUCUGACUUAUUGAGAUAUGGUGUGGGUUGGGAUUUGUUUGAAAAUGUUUACACAUUGGAAGAAGCAAGGAGUAGGGUGCAUCGGUUGAUCGACAAUCUCAAAUCUUCAUGCUUAUUGUUGGACGGAGAUGCUGAAGAUGAAGUUAAAAUGCAUGACGUCAUUCAUGUUGUUGCCGUAUCAAUUGCCGCAGAGAAGCGCAUGUUUAAUAUUCCAAAUGUUGCCGACUUGGAGAAAAAGAUGGAAGAGACAAUACGGAAAGAUCCAAUUGCCAUUUCUUUACCUUAUAGAGGUGAUCAAGUGCUUCCCCAAAGAAUGCGAUGUCCCCGUCUUGGGCUAUUUUUGUUGCAUAGGAAGGGUCUUUGCUCUAUGCAAGUUUCAGACCACAUUUUUGAAGGGACGGAAGGACUCAAAGUUUUGGAUCUUGCCAGAAUUCACUUCUCUUCAUUACCUUCAUCACUUGGGUGCCUCAUUAACCUUCAAACAUUGUGUUUAGACUAUUGCCGACUAAAAGAUAUAGCAAUAGUUGGACAGCUAAAGAAAUUAGAGAUUCUCAGCCUUGUAUAUUCCGAUAUCAAGCAGUUACCACUCGAAAUUGGACGAUUGACGCGGUUACAGUUGCUAGAUUUGAGCAAUUGUCGGAGCCUUGAGUUGAUACCACCAAAUGUCAUAUCAAAAUUAUCUCGAUUAGAAGAACUGUUUAUGCAUAACAGCUUUUCACAGUGGGAUAAGGUUGAAGGAGGAAGUAAUGCCAGUCUUGUCGAGUUGAAAGCGUUGACAAAGCUAACUACUUUGGAGAUAGAAGUUCCGGAUGCCGAAAUUCUGCCGCCGGAUUUUGUCUCCGUGGAAUUGGAAAGAUAUAAGAUAUUUAUAGGAAAAAUGUCUGUCCGACGGCUCGUCGAAUCUAAAACAUCAACAUUGAUGGUGCUCAAGGGGCCAGAAAGAGUUAGCCUUCUUUUGGGGAAUGAUGGGACGAAAAUGUUGCUGAAGAGAACUGAAGAUCUCCGUCUAUACUCACAGAAGGGUGUUCAGAAUAUUGUUCAUGAAUUAGACAAUGGGGAAGGUUUUCCACGAUUGCAGCAUCUUCUAGUAACAGACUGUUCUGAGAUUUUACAUAUUGUCGGUUCAGUUGGACGGGUUCGUUGCAAAGUCUUUCCCUUGCUGGAGUCAUUGGAUCUUAUUGAUUUAACUAAUUUGGAGACGAUAUGCUGCAGCCAACUCAGAGAAGAUCAAUCUUUCAGCAACUUAAGGAUUAUAAACGUAGAUUCCUGUCCAAAAUUGAAGUAUCUCUUCUCAUUCUCUAUGGCUAAAAACCUAUUGGGGCUUCAAAAAGUAAAAGUGAGAAAUUGCGAUGAAUUGGAAAUGAUGAUUGGUAAGUGUUUAAAUUAAUUAUUGGUAGGAUUAUUGACAUUGACUCAUUCUUUUUUUCUUUUUCUUUUUUUUUUGGGUGAAAAAACAACGGAUGUUUAUUAUAUAUUGUUUUUGUUCAUUUAUAGGGCCCGACAUGGAGAAACCAACAACUACUGAGGGACUCACAGAAAUCAUUGCAGAGGAUGAUCCUAUUCACAAGGUGAUAAUUUUCUGUUUAAUAAUUAAUUAAUUAAUAUUUUAUCGCGAUUGAUCUUCAAUCAUCAAAAGAAUAUUAUAUUAGAAGUUGUAGUUGAAGGAACAAAAAUGUACGGUUUUGCUGUGCAGGUUACUUUUCUACGCUUAGAGGAACUGAAACUUGACGGUUUAAAAAACAUCAAAAAAUUAUGGCCCGAUCAAUUUCAGGGAAUGUAUUGUUGUCAAAAUUUAACAAAAGUGACCGUGGAAAGGUGUUAUCGUCUGAAGUAUAUGUUUUCAUAUUCUAUGGUUAAUAGUCUUUUGCAACUCCAACAUCUUGAGAUUAUUAAUUGUUGGUCAAUGGAAGGGGUAGUCAACAACACCGCGGGGGGGUUAGGAGGAAGAGAUGAAUUAAAGGUUUUUCCUAAACUACACUCCCUGCGGCUCCAUUGCCUUCCAAAACUAUGUAGCUUCACCUCACCAGAAGACGUCAUUCACACUGAAAUGCAACCUCAAUCUUUCUUUAAUGAAAAGGUUUUUUUUUUUUUUUUUAAAUUAAUUUUAUUUUCAAUAGUUAAUUUCUUCUUUCGUUGAGUCUUCAAAUUUAAUUAAUAUCCAUCUCUAAUUGCAUUGAAUUUUUAACUUCAGGUACGACUCCCAAGUCUGGAGGUAUUACAUAUUAGUGAGGCGGAUAAGUUGAGAAAAAUAUGGCACCACCAGCUUGCUUCGAAGUCUUUUAGCAAAUUGAAAAAAUUGGAGAUAUCUUGGUGUAAUAAUCUAUUGAAUAUUUUUUCUCCAUUGGUAAGAUUGCUAUAUUCAUUUUGAAUUUUUAUUUCAAAUAACAUUCAACAAUUAUUUUAAUCAUUUUUGUGUUUACAAAUAAUUUUCAUUCACAAAUUAUUUAUUGCAAGUAUUGUACUUCAAACUUCUGGAGGGAAAAAAAGUAGUGUACUUCAAAUCACCAUUCUGAACUCUGCAUUUUCAAUCUAAUUUAUAGGUUCACCUGCAUUAAAGUCAACAAUAUAAUUGUUUUAAACACGAUUUAACAGCAUAAUAUAAUUCAAUUUAAUUUUUUUUUCUUAAAUCGUAAUAAAUAAGAUUUUCAGAAAUUAAAAGAUACUUAGUUACUCAGCUUUUAAGUUCACAAAUUCAUAUAUAUUUCUCUUGUCCUUGGGUCUUUAGAUUUCGAUUUUAAAAAAAAUAAAGAAAAGUGUUCAAAUGUAGUUAGUAUCUCUAGUUUAGUUAUGAAUUGAUUACGCCAUUGAUUAAGCACAAAUUCAUGAUGGUCAUUUUGAAUCGACCGUUGAUUAAAAAAAUUCCUCAAAUAUUCACUCUAUAACAAUCCCAUGUUGAUGGCGUUGGGAAGUGUUUUCCAGAAAUGUUUUCCAUUUUUAAAAGCAUGAAUAUCGGGAAAAAAAAAAAAAAAGAGAAAUACAACGUUUUAGUUUAGUUAUUUUAAAAAUAGGCAUGUUUGAAAAUUAAAAAUUUUUAAAAACUAGCAUCAAGAUGAAAAAUGAAUUUAUAAUAUUUAAAAAUUACCUGAAAUUCUUUCUCCGUUCCUAAUACUAAAUAGUGUAAAUGCAUUUUCAUUAUCUUUGUUUUUCUGGACUUCUAUUUAUUUAUUUAUUUUUGUUUUAAUUUUUUCCUUUUUUUCUUUAACAAAAAAUAUCUAGUAGACAUUCAUGAUUUGUUAUUUUUCAUAAAACAAUUGUAUGAUUUUGACAUACUUUGAAUCUAGUUGAAUGCUACUCUUUAUUUUAAGGUUGGAAUUCCUAGUAGCCUGGUGAAUCUUGAUGUAUCAUACUGUGAAAAAAUAGAAGAAAUCAUAGGACAUGUUGGAGAAGAAGCGAAGGAGAAUCGUAUUGCUUUCAACGAAUUAAAACUUUUGGUACUUGAUCAUUUACCAAGGCUUACCAGCUUUUGUUUGGAGGAUUACACUCUUGAAUUCCCAUCAUUGGAACGAGUUUCUAUGACAUGUUACCCGAACAUGAAGACUUUUUCUCAGGGAAUCGUAUCCACACCAAAGCUGCACGAAGUGCAGGUGAGUAAAAAGGAAGUAUUAAGUUUUAUAUGAAACUGUGAUGUUGUUUGGUUACUAAGAAAAUAGGAAGAAAGAAAACUUCUGUAAGCUGAGAAUUCUGUUAUUAUUGAUCUAAUGAAUCUGGAAAUUACAAGCCUUUUUAUAUGUGCAUAGAAGAUUCUACACACAUUGCACACACGCACAGUUUACUACUAACAACCUCUAUAACAACCUUUAGCUGACUCAGCUGCCAUGUCAGCAUACUCAUUAACUAACUAAUUCUAUUCUUAACAGGAAGAGGGUGAAUUGCGCCGUUGGGAAGGCAACCUUAAUUCCACUAUACAAAAGUGUUACGAAGAAAUGGUAUGUGUUAAAUCGAUUCGUCGAAAUUACUUAUGCAUCUCCCUUGCACUUGCACAUUUGAACAUAUAAGUUUAAUGUAUAUAUAUAUCUAAUGCCUUUCAAGAAAAAAAUUUAUAUAUAUCCAGUGCAAUUGUUUUGGUUUGUGCAGAUUGGAUUUCGUGACAUACAGGAUUUGCAACUCUCACAUUUUCCACGUUUGAAAGAAAUAUGGCAUGGCCAAGCACUGCCUGUCAGCUUCUUCAACAAUUUAGUACGACUGGUGGUGGAUGACUGCACGAAUAUGUCGAGUGCUAUUCCUGCCAAUCUGCUACGGUGCUUGAACAAUUUGGAAUACCUGGCAGUGACGAAUUGUGAUUCACUAGAAGAGGUGCUUCAUUUGGAAGAGCUAAAUGCUGACAAAGAACAUAUAGGUCCCCUGUUUCCUAGGCUUUACAGUCUAAGGCUCACUGAUCUUCCAAAACUCAAAAGAUUCUGCAACUUCAUUGGGAAUAUAAUUGAAAUGCCUGAGUUGGAGAAUCUAACUAUUGAGAAUUGCCCUGAUAUGGAAACAUUCAUAUCCAACUCUGUAGUGCACGUGACAAUAGAUAACAAGGAACCUCAAAAAUUAACAUCAGAAGAGAACUUCUUGCUGGCUCAUCAAGUACAACCUCUCUUCGAUGAAAAGGUGAUUAUUAUUAUUAUUAUUAUUAUUAUUCCCUUCACUUUCGUUCGCAUAGAUGUAAUUUCAUAAGAAUCAAGUCAAAUUUAAUGACUCAUCUUUUUGCAUGUCAUCUUAAUUUAUAUAUGAUUUAACAAUAUAACCGCAGUUAUUAACUAUCUUUAUAGUAUGAAUUAUAAAAAUGUCUGGAAUUAAUUGGAUUCCUGGCAACACGAGGUGCUGAACUAUAUUAAUUAUGUGUGUUAAUUCAUAUUGGAUUUAGGAUCAGAUUUCAUUUAUGUGUUUCAAAGGGUAAUCGAUUUGAUACUUAUAUUUGGGAUCCUACUGCAAAGCAUACUGAUUUGGAAAUAAAAUAUAAAAUGCCGUGAUUAAUCUUGUCCAUAAAAUAUGCAGGGGAAGACUGCAGAGAUUGGAUACAUAUUUUCAUUUCCAACUUAAUUUUGUUGAUUUUCAGGUUGCAUUCCCUCAAUUGAGAUGGUUAAACCUGUCUAGAUUACACAAAGUGCAGCAUCUCUGGAAGGAAAAUGACGAAUCCAACAAAGCGUUUGCAAACUUGGGAAGUCUAGAAAUAUCGGAAUGUAGUAAGUUGCAAAAAUUAGUACCACCUUCGUGGCAUUUGGAAAAUCUUGCGACUCUGGAAGUAUCGAAGUGUCACGGGUUGAUAAAUUUAUUGACGCUCUCAGCAUCUGAAAGUCUAGUGAAUCUUGAAAGAAUGAAGGUAGCUGAUUGCAAAAUGAUAGAAGAAAUCAUACAAUUGCAGGUUGGAGAAGAAGUGAAAGGCUCCAUUGUCUUCGAGAAAAUGAACUACUUGACACUUGAUUGUUUGCCAAGCCUAACAAGCUUUUGUUCGAGUAAUUACACUCUUCAAUUCCCAUUCUUGCAAAAAGUAGUUGUGAGACAGUGCCCAAAGAAGAAGAUUUUCUCUCAAGGAGUCGUAGACACACCAAAUCUAAACAAAGUGAAACUCACCGAAGAAAAAGAUGAUGAUGAUGAUGAAGAAGAUGAUGAUGAUGAAGGAUGUUGGGAAGGCAACCUCAAUGACACCAUAAAAAAAUUGUUCAAUGAAAUGGUGAGUAUCAAUUAAGUUUUGGUGCUAUUUAGCAAAUUAUUUUAUAGAAACUAGUGUGACAUAAUAUGAUUGGUUGACUGAAAAUAUAUAAUAAUAAUAGUAAAUAAAUAAAUUAUGAGGAGCAUGUAAUGUUUUUGUUUAACCAAUCAUAUUAUGUCGCAUUAGUUUAUACAAUAUUAUUUGUGCACAAGAGGUGGUGGUCAUAUCAUUACUCUAGUUUUAUUAUUCUUAUGGUGGCAAUGUAUGCUUGCUUACACGAGUAAUUACAAAAUCUGCAGAAUUCUAAAGAAGAGAUUGAGCCAAUCCUUCAGGUACAGUGAAGAAGCUAUCCCGAACCAGGCCAAUCUCUUAUACAUGAUUUAGCUUGCUCGUUCUUCUGUACUUGAAUAAUUUGGCUCUACAUAUUUACAAUUUUUUGCUCAUGCUACAGACUUGCAAGACACUUUGGAUUUUGUUUGAUGCAUUCUCCGUUUAAGAAAGGACUUGAAUUGAUGUUUCAUGUUUCAUGCAAUAUUCGAUUAGAUUCUGUCUAAAUUUCUGUAUUAUUCGUUCAAUUGGUCUUUUAAGCAUUUGAUUUCUAACCUCUCCUAAUAGAAUAUCAUUAGCCGAUGAAAACAGCAUAACAUUUGUGGUUGUGGCAUUAUCAGAAUAAGAAUAUUUUUUAGUAUAGUAAAAUUAUCUCGACCACUGUUAAAAAGAAUUAAACAGUCAAACUGACCUUCUCACACCAGCACGCUUUAAAUUAAAAGAAUUUCAUGAAGUCAAGACCAUGUUAUAGAUCUUGUGGAAAUAAGUGAACCCGUAAUUUUUUUCACACCAUCAUAAGAAAAAUCAUUUUUUUUAAGUAUUUUUGUUAGCUGUUGAGUUUUAAUAGUAGUAGCUAUUAAACAAUAACAAUUAGUGUAUAUUAAAAAGUUGGAAACUGGUUGAUACCACUCGGGAAUCGAGCAGUUCACUUGUUUGCGAGUAGAAACCAACUUUACUACUAAUUACACUCAUACCAAAAAUAGUGACGAAAGAAUCAGGGAAUUUCCUAUUCACUAUUCUUCAUUUUUUAAUGCAAAAUUCCCAUUCGAAAACACCAAUGACUUUCAUUCAAAGUAAAUGAGAAAUUACAAUGAAAAUAGAAUCAAAAUACAUAUAUGUAUACCUAAAACAAAUGAUUUUUUUAAUUAAAAAAAAAAUACAGUUGAGGUGAAAUGAAACCAGAGUCAUGAUAUCUCUGGUUCCAACUUUGGGACAACAGCAGACUUGAGUUCUAUAUGAGAAACACGUACAGCACCAAUCAGCCGCUCCAGUAAUUCAUCUGUAGUAUUUGCCUGCAUACAGAAGAGCAAGAUAAAGAAGACAAACACAGAAGCAUUAUAUCAUUCUGAGAACAUUCAAGUAUGCAAAAAUGCAAGUUGCAGUGCAAUAUCUCAAAAUCAUGUCUUUUCCCUUGUGUCCAUUUAGCAGUGGGGGAAAAAAACAAUCAUACAUACCUGUACAAGGAAAGCCAUGUCAACCACCAAUGUCGUAAUUACACCAAUUACAAGGCCCAAAACUCCAUUAGCAACAGUAGAAGAAUCGAUGUCAACAUCAAUCUACAGAAAGAUGAACAAUGUUAAACCAUGUUAAAGGUAUUGGACGCUAUUUGAAAGGGGAACAUCUCAUGUACUAUAGAAAUUCCAAGAGCAUUUACUUCUAAGUACUUGGGACCGCGAAUAUAGUUACAAUCAACUGCCUUCCCCAAUAAACAAGGGGUGCUUCCAACACUCUGGCGCACUAUCCAUGACCCCUGCAUGAUUCAGUGCUUAAAAUCAAGAACAAGUGCAAAACAAAUUCAAGAGGGUAAAAAGGACAUAGUUUGAAUCUGAAUCCAAAUCCAUUAAUCCAGAGUUCAUAGCUUGGAUGAAGACUGAUCAACUUCUGUUGAGUUGGAUGAUGUCGUCGAUACAGCAAAAUCUACUUGCUACUGUGAUUGACUCCACAACUUCAAAACAGCUUUGGGAGACUCUUACUAGUAUGUUUAUUUCUUAAUCACAAGCUAGAAUCCAAACACUUAGAAUGCAGAUUCAAACUAUUAAGAAAAGUGCAAUGCAUAUGUCUGAUUACUUUGCAAAAGUAAAACGUAUAGCUGAUACUUUAGCUCUAGCUGGAAAACCUGUUGAGUUAAGUGACCUUGUGAUGCAUGUAUUAACCGGUCUUGAUUCAUCAGAUUAUGAAUCUUUAGUCACAGCUAUUUUAGCUCGAGGUGAGAAGAUAACAUUAGAUGAACUAUAUCCUUUGCUGUUGAAUCAUGAAAAUAGAGUUGAGCAAAAGAAAGGAAAAAUUGCUGGUGAUGUGAUGCACAAUAUAACAGCAAAUAUUGCUCAGAAGAACUCAUGCUGGAAAGAAUAAUGGCAAUUUUCAAAAAAAUUAUGGAAAUAAUUCUGGAGGUGGAAAUAAUUCUAGGUAUGGAGGUUUUAAUGGAUAUGGAUAGGGUCAGUUUAAUAAUGGUGGUAAUUCCUUUGAAAUUGUUUGUCAAAUCUGCUUAAUACCUGGUCAUGCAGCCAAUAGAUGCAAAAAUAGGUACAAUUCAUCUUUUGUUCCACAAAGAAACUAUGGCAGAGGUAAUAUGAAUGGUGUCAGAGGUUUUAAUCAAGGGCAAUAUGGUAGAGGAAGAGCUUUUAAUGGUAAUGGUGGCAGAGGUUUUGGAGGUUUUGGUUUAAAUGCCGGUUUUGGCUAUGCACCCAGGGGUUUUGGCUAUCAAGGAAAUAUAGUGUAUCCAGAUAGGAAUCCUUCUGCUUAUUACUCAUUCACCCUUGGACCAUCUACUUUUGUUUCUGGUCAAGGAAAUAAUAAUCCUGGACAGUCAAGUGCUUCAUCUUCCUCAGCUAUGCCUUCUUCACUUCCACCAGAACACAUUGAAGAUCCUUCAUGGUAUAUUGAUAGUGGAGCAACAAAUCACAUUACAAAUUAUCUAGGUAAACUUCUGGAUUCACAAGUUUAUACUAGUACUGAAAAAUUGUUUGUUGGAGAUGGAAAUGCAUGAGCUAUUACACAUGCAGGAUCAGUUGUGCUAAAUACUUCAACUUCUAAACCUUUAAGAACCAUCUUCUGCAUGUCCCUUUUAUUACUAAGAAUUUGCUUAGCAUUUCAAAAUUAUUGGCUGACAAUCCAGUUAUUGUUGAAUUUCUUGGUGAUUUGUGUUUUAUAAAGGCUAGGAACACAGGGAAAAUUUUACUUGAAGGUGUUGCUAAAGGUGACUUGUAUAGAGUCUCUUCACAUGUUGCUGCUCAUUCAGUCUUUCUCAUUUCAGUUGGUCAAAAUAAAACUCACUCUCUUUGCUUGUUCUCCUGUUUUCAAUUCUGAUCAGCUCACUGCUGUUAGUUCUUAUGAAUUGAAUAAAAAGUCAUGUCUGUCAGUUGUUACAAAGAGUUCUAUUGAUGUAAAUCUUCUUCAUAGAAGAUUAAGACACCCAGCAUCUUAUACUCUCAAAACUAUACUCAAAACUUGUAACAACUCUACUGCUUAUAAUAAAAUUGAAAGCUUGAAAUUUUGUUCAGCAUGUCAAUAUGGGAAAAAUCAUAUGCUGCAUUUUGAUUCAGUUGAAACAAAAACUUCAGCACCCUUACAAGUGAUAUAUGCAGAUCUUUGGGGUCCUUCUCAUGUCUAUUCUACCCAAGGAUAUAAUUACUACUUAUCAAUCUUAGAUGAUUAUAGUAGAUUUACCUGGAUAUUUCCAUUGUCAGCCAAAUCUGAUGCUCUUGAAGUGUUUACCAAUUUCAAAAUUUUUAUUGAAAAGCAUCUUCAACUUCAAAUCAAAACUGUCCAAACUGACUGGGGAGGAGAGUUCAGAACACUUUCCUCAUUACUCACUGCUUCUGGUAUCCAUUUUAGACACCCUUGCCCACAUAUUCAUCAUCAAAAUGGAAGAAUUGAGAGGAAACAUAGACACAUAGUUGAUGUAGGUCUGACCUUAUUAGCUCAAGCACAUUCACCACUCAAAUUUUGGUGGAAUGCAUUCCACACAGCUGUCUAUUUGAUAAACAGACUUCCAACUCCAGUUCUAAACAACAUUUCUCCUUUCCAAAAGUUAUUUCAUCAUCAACUAGAUUAUUCAACACUUAAAACCUUCGGUUGUGCUUGUUAUCCAACACUCAGACCAUACAAUAGACAUAAGUUUGAUUUCAGAACUGCCAGAUGUAUAUUCAUUGGCUACAAUUCACAACACAAGGGAUAUCAGUGUCUUCACUCUUCUAAGAGGGUUUACAUUUCAAAUCAUGUCACCUUUGAUGAAAAUUCUUUUCCUUGUGAGUCUGGAGCAGAUUUUUCUUCACUCUCUUCAAGUUGUCAGUCAACAAAAAACUAUAAGUCUUCUUUCAAUUCCUCUGUUCCUUCUGUUACUCAGUUACAAGCACCUUUAGCAGCAUCAUCAGAACACCAUCAAAAUGUUCAUCAUUUAGAUGCUCCUACUCCCUCACCAAAUUCUACUCCACUUUAUUUUUCUGAUAAUUCCAACUCAGCUUCUUCUUCUUCACCACCACAUAAUUCACCUCCACAUACAUUGCCACAACCUGCAUCAACUGGUCAUCCAAUGAUAACCAGGUCAAAAGCAGGUAUUUUCAAGCCAAAAAUUUAUUUGUCAGCUUUAUUAGCCCAAAAAUCAGAACCAACUUCUGUUUCCCAAGCACUUUCUGAUCCUAUGUGGUAUAAGGCUAUGCAAGAAGAGUAUCUAGCACUUAAAACUAAUCACACCUGGGAUUUAGUUUUACCUGCUACUCCAGUGAAGAUAGUUGGCAGCAAAUGGGUGUUUCGAAUAAAGUAUAACUCAGAUGGUUCAGUUUCAAGAUAUAAAGUCAGGCUUGUUGCAAAGGGGUUUCAUCAGACACAUGGGAUUGACCAUACAUAAACUUUUAGUCCAGUGGUUAAAGCUUCAACUGUUAGAGUUAUUCUUAGCUUAGCAGUAUUGAAUCAAUGGGUGAUUAGGCAAGUAGAUGUUAAUAAUGCCUUUCUAAAUGGCAUUUUAAUUGAAGAGGUGUACAUGGCUCAACCUGAAGGUUUUGUUGACUCAACUAAACCUAAUCAUAUCUGCAAGCUGAAUAAAGCUUUGUAUGGCUUAAAACAGGCACCCAGAGCCUGGUUUGAUAGAUUCAAGGAUGCAAUGAUCUCUAAACAGCAUUUCCAACAUUCAAGGUCUGAUAACUCUCUGUUUCAUGCCUGGAACAGUGGUCAUCUAACUCUUGUUUUGGUCUAUGUUGAUGAUAUUAUCAUCACUAGUUCCAGUCCAACACUAAUUCAGCAAGUUAUUCAGAGUAUGAAUCAAGCCUUUGCUUUAAAAGACAUGGGGGAACUUAGCUAUUUUCUGGGGAUUGAAGUCAGCAAGUCUUCAUAAGGGGUUUCCUUGACACAAGCAAAGUAUAUUACUGACAUUCUAGAUAAACAUGGCAUGACAGAUUGCAGUCGUGUGCCUACUCCAAUGUCUACUGGUUAUUAUCUCACAAAAGAAUCAGGAGAGCUAAUUGAUAAUGUUUCUCAAUAUAGGAGUGUUAUAGGAGCUCUUCAAUAUGUUACUCUUACCAGACCUGACAUUGCUUUCUCUGUAAACAAGCUAAGUCAAUUCCUUUCAAGUCCUAGAACACAACAUUGGGAAGCAUGCAAAAGGUUAUUGAGGUACUUAAAAGGCACUAUACAUCUUGGGCUGCAAUUUAAUAACAAAGGAGCUUUGCAACUACAUUGUUUUUCAGAUUCUGACUAGGCUUGUGAUCGUGAUGAUAAGAAGUCACUGGUUGGCUUUGCUGUUUACCUAGGCCUUAAUCUAGUCUCAUGGUCAUCAAAGAAACAAGCUGUUGUUUCCAGGUCCAACACAGAGGCUGAGUAUAGAUCUCUUGCUCAUGCUGCUUCAGAGGUUCCCUGGAUACAAUCUUUACUUGGUGAACUUAACAUCAAAUUGAGCUCUACUCCUAUGAUGUGGUGUGAUAAUCAAGAAGCAAUUGCUUUAGCUUACAAUCCAGUCUAUCAUGCUAAAACUAAGCAUGUCGAAUUGGAUAUACAUUUUAUCCGAGAUAAAGUUACUGCUAAAGAGAUUGAAGUAUGUUUUGUGCCCAGUCAAGAUCAAACAGCAGAUGUGUUGACUAAGGCUUACUUUCAAACAGUUUAGUUACUUAAGAAGCAAGCUGAAUGUUCAUCCUAAACAUUUCAGCUUGAGGGGGGAUGUAGUGAAUUGAAUGAAGUUGGAGCAAAGCAUGAUGUUGCUGUGUAGCUGACUGUAGCAGAUCAACUCACUAGGCUGACCUGGCAAAGUUAGUUAGCUGGUUGAGCUGAUGUGUCAAAUUAGUUAUGCAGCAAAUGGUUAUGUGAUGUAAAAAACUUGUGUGUGUGUUGAGCAAAUUGUAGCUUAAUAUAAAUAUCAGUCUGUAUUCAUUUAGUUGUAAUGCUAGAGUAAUAAAGGUUCUACAAACUUCUUUACAGCGCUUUCUUUUAUUUUCUUUCAUUUUCUAGCUUGCCAAACAAUACAAAACUAAGUUUCUUUCGGAAAAGGAAAAAUAAAAAGAAAAGAAUAGUUACUUGUGCAGUACAGCCUUGACGCCUAGCUACAUGGUCCAUUCUCUGUGUCUUUGAACCAAUCAACAGCAACAAGAUCCAUUAAAUGUUUUCCCGCAGGUAUCUGCAGUUACAAAUUGCACAAAGCACAAGAGCCAACCAAACUACAUCAUAACCUGUCGACCUAGCAUAUGCAGGAUAUAUAACUACCAUAACAAACAACCAAAAUAUGGGGGAACCUUUGUUUUGUCAUAACAAAAAUGCUUGCUACGAACUCUAAAGUUAUUUCCACCAGAAAGUUUCCAGCAGUCACGAGCAUUAUCACAGUCAUCGUGUCGCAGAUUGCCUGAAAAAUAAGAAAAAUCAAUUUGAUCAGCCUGCUCUUCCUCUAGGGUAGCAACUAAUUGAAAAUUAUAAACCAAAAAAAAAAAUCAAUACCAUAAAAAUCCACUAAUGAGGACAUUAGCCAAAUAUACAAAAAUGAAUACUUAUCAUCCACCUGUCCUCUUGAAAUCAUUCUCAAUCUUUUUUUCAUUUGAUGGCAGGAAUUAUUGAAAUUGGAGCCAUUUUUUUUGUGGGAAUUGAAAUAUAUUCUUUAAAUUAUUACAUAAAUAGCAAAAUGUACAUACACACACAUAUAUAUAAUUCAUAUAUAAAAAUUCUCUAAUUUGUUCACAAGUACCAUAGAUUAUAAUUCAGUUAUGAAAUAAAAUAACUACAAUAAUUAUAGUUAAAUGAAUACUUCAUUAAUUCUUAAUUUGCUUCCUAACAUUAAAUGAACAACUUGAGUCAGCCACCUGAAUCAACCAGUAACAACGCCUGAGUCAACCAUCUGAAAAAACCAGCAACCCUAGCUGAUUCAAGCACCUGCAAUUAACAUCAACACAACAGGAACAAUCAUAAAUCAGCACCAAGAACAGACCAAACUGCCAUCAAAUGCCACAAAACCAAACAGUCUGCUACUGCCAUCAAAUGCAAGCAAACAUAUGCAACAAAACCAGAUGCAAGUGAAAUUCUGGAGAAUAUCGGAUAAACCAAACCAAAUGCCACACUUCUAGUAAUUAGACUAGAUGCAGUGUUCAAUUAAACUAAAUGUAGUCUCAUAUUACAUUCAAAUUUUCUAAAAAAACCAGUGUUCCAUCAGAGAAGCACCAAAACCAAACCAAUCUAAUCCAGCAUAAUUACCAGCUCAACCCAAAACAAUUACACAUUAUAUUGACAUAUCAAAAUUCGCUAUCAAAACAUAGCCAAAUAAAUGACAAUAAACUGAAAACAGACCCGAACCAACUGAUGUUGCAGCCCUAGUAGUCAUUGUGCGUUCCACUGCCAUAGGAGCGAGGGUAGGCUCCGUUGUUGAUGAGUGAGUAAGAUAAGGCUCCAAAUCAAUAGUUCCACCUCCUUUCUGCAAUUCAAAAAACAGAAAUUCAUAUAUGUAAAACUAUUAAAAAGUGUGAAACAACCUGUAAGUAUUCAACUUCUGUCAACUCAAUAGCACUUACUAAAGUUUUUAUACAGAAGAAAAAGGCAUUUUAAGUCCAAAAAAUUAGAAUUAUUGGUUGAACUCCAACUCCAUCAAUCCAUGCAACCAUCCAACCUUUAACGAAAAAAUGAAGCAUAAUUAACAAGACAUCUGAAUCAGAAAGAUUGUGCUUUGAUUUGGCACGAGGUGUUGGAAACAACUUAACAAAUCUAGACACAAUCUAUAACCAUCAAGUCCAAACAAAAGUCAGGAUCUAAAAUACUUUGAAAAAUCAGAAAAACCGCAAAAUAUCAGUUUCAAUUUCUUUUUCACCCAUUGUAAGCUCAAACUGAAGGUAGCGGCGCUACCUUUAAACAUCAUUUGGGCUUAUACAUGUGACAUUUGCUCAUGAACAACUAAAGUUGAAUAAGAUUUUUAUA